GUUUGAAUCUUUUCUGGAAUCAGUUGUCAGGAGAGAUACCAGCAAAUAUAAGCCUCAUUCCUACACUAGAAACCUUCAAAGUUUUUAGCAAUCAAUUGAGUGGAGUUUUGCCCCCAGCAUUUGGCCUUCAUUCGGAGCUCAAAUUCUUUGAGAUUUUUUAGAAUAAACUAAGCGGGGAAUUACCUCAACAUUUAUACGCUAGGGGGGCUUUGCUUGGAGUGGUCGCUUCCAACAACAAUCUCAGCGGGGAAGUGCCCACGUCCCUCGGGAAUUGCACAAGUUUACUCACCAUUCAGUUUUCCAACAAUCGUUUUUCAGGUGGGAUUCCUUCCGGAAUCUGGACAUCCCCGAACAUGGUAUCGGUGAUGUUAGAUGGAAAUUCAUUCUCAGGGACACUUCCAAGUAAAUUGGCAAGGAAUUUGUCUAGAGUGGAGAUCGCUAACAACAAGUUUUAUGGUCCAAUUCCUGCUGAAAUCUCUUCCUGGAUGAACAUCUCUGUGCUCAAUGCCAACAACAAUAUGUUGUCUGGAAAAAUUCCAGUGGAAUUGACUAGUCUUUGGAACAUCACUGUUCUGUUGCUUGAUGAGAAUCAAUUCUCGGGUGAACUUCCAUCCCAGAUCAUCUCAUGGAAGUCGCUCAAUAAGUUAAAUCUCUCAAGAAACAAACUUUCUGGCCUAAUUCCCAAGGCAUUAGGUUCUUUAACUAGCCUUAGUUACCUCGACCUGUCAGAAAACCAGUUCUCAGGUCAAAUUCCUCCUAAACUUGGCCAUUUGAACCUUAUUAUCCUCCAUCUUUCGUCCAACCAACUCUCUGGGAUGGUCCCCAUUGAGUUUCAACAUGAAGCAUAUGAAGACAGUUUCUUGAACAAUCCCAAGUUGUGUGUCAAUGUUCCCACUUUGAACCUCCCUAGAUGUGAUGCCAAACCCGUCAACUCCGACAAAUUGUCAACCAAAUAUCUCGUUAUGAUCCUAAUUUUCGCUCUAGCUGGUGCUUUCGUCUCCUUGUCCAAGGUUCAUAUCUAUCAUAGGAAGAAUCACAGUCAGGACCAUACAGCUUGGAAAUUUACUCCAUACCAUAAACUAGAUCUCGAUGAAUACAACAUAUUGUCCAGUUUGACAGAAAAUAAUCUGAUCGUAUGUGGUGGGUCAGGGAAAGUAUACCGAGUUGCUAAUAACCGUUCUGGUGAACUCUUAGCGGUUAAAAUGAUUUGUAAUAACAGGAGAUUGGAUCAAAAGCUUCAGAAACAAUUCGAAACAGAAGUCGAGAUAUUGAGCACCAUGCGCCAUGCCAAUAUAGUGAAGUUGUUGUGCUGCAUAUCAAAUGAAACCUCUAGUCUUCUUGUUUACGAGUACAUGGAGAAGCAGAGUUUGGAUAGAUGGCUUCAUGGGAAGAAGCAGAGAACAUCGUCCAUGACAAGUUCAGUUCAUAACUUCGUCUUGGAUUGGCCAACAAGGUUGCAGAUUGCCAUUGGAGCUGCAAAAGGCCUAUGCCACAUGCAUGAAUACUGUUCUGUCCCAAUCAUACAUCGAGAUGUGAAGUCCAGCAACAUCUUGCUAGAUGCCGAGUUCAACGCGAAAAUUGCGGAUUUUGGAUUGGCUGAGACGUUGGUCAAGCAAGGAGAACCCAACACCAUGUCAAGAAUUGCAGGCUCUUACGGGUAUAUUGCCCCUGGUAUGACCAUCAAGGCCCUCCUUUCCACAUGUUUUCAUUUCCAUAAUUUAUCGAUAAUUUGUAUCAUACCAUUCUUGUAUACUUGGAUGAUAGAGUAUGCUUAUACAACAAAGGUGAACAAGAAGAUCGAUGUAUAUAGCUUUGGAGUAGUCUUGCUUGAGCUUGUGACAGGUAGAGAACCCAACAAUGGGGACGAGCACAUGUGCCUUGCGGAAUGAGCAUGGAAUCAGUUCAGAGAAGGGAAAACCAUUGAGGAAGUGGUAGACGAGGAGAUCAAGGAACAAUGUGAUAGAGCACAAGUGGCCACUCUCUUCAAACUAGGCAUUAAGUGCACUAACAAAUUACCAUCCAAUAGGCCCACAAUGAAAGAGGUUUUGAAAAUUCUUCAAUAGUGCAGUCCUCAGGAGGGCCAUGGAAGAAAUAAAAAGGACCAUGAAGUUGCACCUCCACUUUGAAAUGACACUUAUCCCACCACUUACAAGUUGUGAGGAUAAAGCCCUUAAAAACAUGAUAUGAUGUAAUAAAUUUGGAAGUCAUUAUUUAUUUAAUGAUGUUCCGAUUUCACUUUUAUCUAUCCUUAUUCCAUGUAUUAUACUUUAUGAGUAUUCUCGCCUGCAUCUUUUGCAUUGCACUAGCUUAGGUGCAUUAAGAGUUGCAUAGAAGAUCUAUGUCAUGGGUUCCUUGCAAAUAUAUUACUUGUUCACAACCAGUUCAUGGGUCUAGGAAGCCCAUUAAAUGGCUUCAUGGGAAGAAGCAGAGAACAUCGUCCAUGACAAGUUCAGUUCAUAACUUCGUCUUGGAUUGGCCAACAAGGUUGCAGAUUGCCAUUGGAGCUGCAAAAGGCCUAUGCCACAUGCAUGAAAACUGCUCUGCCCCGAUCAUACACCGAGAUGUGAAGUCCAGCAACAUCUUGCUAGAUGCCGAGUUCAACGCGAAAAUUGCGGAUUUUGGAUUGGCCAAGAUGUUGGUCAAGCAAGGAGAGCCCGACACCAUGUCAGGAAUUGCAGGCUCUUACGGAUAUAUUGCCCCUGGUAAGACCAUCAAGGCCCUCAUUUCCACAUGUUUUCAUUUCCAUAAUUUAUCUAUAAUUUUUAUCAUACAAUUCUUGUAUACUUGGAUGAUAGAGUAUGCUUAUACAACAAAGGUGAACGAGAAGAUCGAUGUAUAUAGCUUUGGAGUAGUCCUGCUUGAGCUAGUGACGGGGAGAAAACCCAACAGCGGGGACGAGCACAUGUGCCUUGUAGAAUGGGUAUGGGAUCAGUUCAGAGAAGGGAAAACCAUUGAGGAAGUGAUGGAUGAGGAGAUCAAGGAACAAUGUGAAAGAACACAAGUGACCACUCUCUUUAGUCUAGGCCUCAUGUGCACUACCACAUUACCAUCCACUAGGCCAACAAUGAAAGAGGUUUUGGAAAUUCUUCGACAGUGUAGUCCUCAGGAGGGCCUGGUAGAAAGAAAAAGGACCAUGAAGUUGCACCUCCACUUUGAAAUGACACUUACCCCACCACUUACAAGUUAUGACGAUAAAGCCCUUAAAAACAUGAUGUGAUGUAAUAAAUUUGGAAGUCAUUAUUUAUUUAAUGAUGUUCCGAUUUCACUUUUAUCUAUCCUUAUUCCAUGUAUUAUACUUUAUGAGCAUUCUUGUUUGCAUCUUUUGCAUUGCACUAGCUUAGGUGCAUUAAGAGUUGCACAGAAGAUCUAUGUCAUGGGUUCCUUGCAAAUAUAUGACUUGUUGACAACCAGUUCAUGGGUCUAGGAAGCCCAUUAGAGGUUGUAAUAAACCACUUCCUAAUUGGAAGAAUGGCUAGUCUUAGCUAUUGGGAUGAGUUUCCAAUGGUAAGUGCAUUAGUGUGUAUGCUUACAUAUUGGACAUGACCUAUGGUGAAUCAUGACUUAAGGUUAUCAAGCAGUCAUGACCUUAUCAAACUGCUUCAUUAUGUUGUCUCUCAACCUUGAGAGAAUAUCGAGCUUGUACUAAAGUCAGCAAUGACUUUGACAUACGGGUGAAAUCAUAAGUUGAUCAUAUAUUCCCUAUGGAUUGAGUCACUGUUGAUGGAAGAUGGUAGUGAUAGGUAUUUUCAAUAAAAACACCAUGAUGUCUCUUGGGAUUAAGACAACGUGCCCCUUUUAGUGAUCCUAAAGAGGUGUGUUCAUAGAAACUAUGGUCAUAAUAGUUCCUUAAGUAAAACUCGACAUAGGCUCUUUGAGAGCUAAGACAUGUCAAUUGAAUACACAAUAUGAGGAUUUAUAACUCAAAGAUGGUAGAGGUAGUCUUGAAAGACUAAUAACUUUCACUUUGUUAGACUACGAAUAUCAGUUCAUGGGAAGACUAAACACAAUAAAUAGCAAGUCACAAACCUGAACAUUUGGUAUCUCAUUGUUAUUUUCAAUAAAAUAACAAUGAGAUGGUAAGUUGAUCAUAUAUACCCUAUGGAUUAGGUCAUUGUUAAUGGAAGAUGGUAGCAAUAGGUAUUUUCAAUAAAAGUACCAUAAUAUCUCUUGGGAUUAAGAUAGUGUGCCCCCUUGGAUGAUCCUAAAGAAGUGUGUUCAUGGAAACUAUAGUCAUAGUAAUUCCUUAAGUAAAACUCAACAUAAGCUCUUUGAGAGCUAAGACAUGUCAAUUGAAUACACAAUAGGAGGAUUUAUAACUCAAGGAUGAUAGAGGUAGCCUUGAAAGACUAAUAACUUUCACUUUGUUAGACUACAAAUACCAGUUCAUGGGGAGACUAAACACAAUAAAUAGCAAGUCACAAGCUCGAGCAUUUGGUAUCUCGUUGUUAUUUACAUAGGAUACCGAAGUUCAAUUGAUUCUCUGUAGUGGGAUGUUGAAUCAACUUUAGAAUUGGAUUUUGAGAGAGUCAGUAUUCCUAUGGCUCCCAAUGGUCCUUGCUCUAAGCUUAUAUACUUUGUUGGCAUGGAUUAUAAGAGUCAGAUUGGCUCUAGAUUUACUUUUGUACAUAAGGGCAUUUUGAUAAUUACGCAAGGUUACAUAAAGGUAAGUGAACAAGGUUUUUAGAUUGGGUUAAUUGAUUAAUUAGUAGGCCUUGUUUGAUUAAUUAAUCAAUUAAGACUUUUUUGGGCUAUAUUAAGUGACCUAAGCCCUUAGUGGGCUCAAGUCACUUAAACCUAAUAGAAAACCCUAUAAAUACCCCCUUAAGGGUUAGAGUUUGUAUAGUUUUUCUAAAGAGCCAUCUUCUAUCUCCAGAGAGAGAAAGAAAGAGAAAGAGUCAUAGUGUCCACCUCCCUUCUAUCUCUACUAGAAGUGUGUCAAGAUCAAGGUUCAAGUCAUUGGGAGGAAGACUUUGGAUUUACGAGACUUCUGCGAUUUCGUUCUUCAUUUUCACCACGUGGAUUUGAUUCAAGAACAUCCGAAUUUAAGGUAUGGUUUUCAUUAGCACUUUCUGAAUCCCUUUAAAGUUUAAAAAUGUUAUUUUUCCUUUGUGCAUAGGAUUAAUUUAGAAAAUGCUUAGAAUAGUUAUGCAUGUUCCAAACCUGAUCUGAGCUUAGGAAAUGGAGAGAUCCUAGUUUUUUCCCUCAAUGUUUGUGCUCCAAAGUGUUGAGAUAGUUUAGAGGGUGACAUGAUGAUUGACAUAAUACCUUAUGUAGAUAACCUAGUGAAUCCCUUCUCCAAGACAUUAAUAGGGAGAGUCUUUGUUGGUCACAUGGAUAGCAUAGGUUUCAGAUGAGUAUUUGGCAUGCUUUAAAGGCAUGAUACUUUGAGGGCUAAUAGGAGAAUGUUAGGAUAAAGCCCUUAAAAGUAUGACAUGAUGUAAUAAAUUUGGAAUUCAUUAUUUAUUUAAUGAUGUUCUAGUUUCACUUUUAUCAAUCUUUAUUCCAUGUAUUAUACUUUAUGAGCAUUCUUGUCUGCAUUUUUUGCAUUGUACAUGACUUAAGUGCAUUAGGAGUUACAUAGAAGAUCUAAGUAAUGGGUUUCUAGCAAAUAAAUGACUUGUUCACAACUGAUUCAUGGGUCUAGGCAACUGAUUACUACUCAAAAAGUGUUAUUUGAUAGCUUGUAAUUAACUCUUUUAAACACUUUUGAGUAGUAGUUAUCACCUUUUAACCCAAUUAACAUAUUAAGGACCCUUACAAUCAAUUCUAAUAAAAUUGUGUUAAGUUUUGGUGUUUUGAUAGCUUUUUUAUCACCAAAGCAAUCCGAGAUUGAGGAGAGUUCUUUGGAAUCCAUGGCAAAGAUGUCUGGACAGGGCGUCUGGACACACCAUCGGAGGGCGGCGGAAUAUGGGUUGUGGCAAGCUGUCGGAAUGACGUAGCAAGGCUUGCUCACUUUAGUCAAUGUUUUCCAUCCGGACAACAUAUCCGGAUAGGAUAUGCUAUCGUCCGCGGUGUGAUGUGCACGAGUGUCGUGUGCUUCUCCCUGAGGGAGUCCGGAUAGCAUAGCGGCGCGUGUCCUCUUGGGGAAUCCGGAUGGAGUUGCACCGGAUAGCAAUGCGCGCUCCGUGUCAUCAGGGGGAGGGGUCCCUACACCUUGUACACGCAGACGAUCCCCCUUGCGACGCGCGGGUAUCUCACUCCCGAAAUUCUGUCUGGUCAGACAUGUCCGGAUCCUCUGAUCGGAUAUUUCACAUCUGGAUAUCUCACAGCCGGAUGGGAGAGGAGGACGUUUCAACUUCCCUGGUCAGACAUGUCCGGAUCCUCUGAUAGCGCCUACCCGAAGAGUUUUUCUCUCAGUAUAUAGUGUCGCGGUGUUCUCCUGAAGCUUCCUGAUAUUUUCGACCGACAUCUUGAGAUAUUUUGCUUUAGAUAUUUGAUGUCUAAAUCCCCAAACUCUCUUUGUAACCCACCUAUCAUAGGAUCUCUUAGUCUUUAAGUAAGAAAAAGGGUGAAUAACCUCUGAUAUAUAUAGUUUGUAAUUUUCUUUAUAAGAAAUUAUGAUGUAAUCGGCGGAAGAAAGAAAUAUAUUUCACAGAGCACUUGCUCUGAUUUUCAUAUAUAUUUUUGUUUUCUCAUUCUUUUUCUUACUAGCCAAACAAGCUCUGAGGAAGUUUCCUCAGAGAAUGAGUGGCUAGACUUUUAGUUCCUUGGAGCUAAGGUUGCCGGGAAAGGUUUCAAGUGCAAGAAUUUAUAGUUUUGUGGUUUCGGCCAUUAAUGAAGAGAAAGUAUGAUCCUUUAAUGAUUUCUAUGUUUUUUAGUUAACUUAAAACACCUUCAAUUCACUUGAGACAACACUUGGUAAGGCAAGUGAUCUCCGUCCAUGGAGAUGCACUAGUUUGCCUCUUGCGAGCUUUUGAGAAGUGACUUGAAGGUAGGAUUUUCUAGAAUUGUCAACACUUGGUAAGCUUUUGGACUCCAAGGAGACAUCCAUUAGUUAUCUUUUGUGAGCUUGAGAAGGGAAGUCCAAAGUUAAUGAUCACCUUGAAUGGCAAAUGCUAGAUGAGAGGCACGAGCCAUUGCAAGUUGCAUCAAUGAGAAGAAACUAGAGUUGAAAUCCAUUUAAAGGAUACAUCUGUACAACACCGGUUAGAGAAUUGACUAUAUGUAAAUUCUCUAAUGCGAGGAAAUGAACCAAAUGACCGAAGCUCUAUUUUUGCAUAAGAAACCUCCCCUGUGAACCUAAACCUCCAAGGAAUGUUUUUCUUCAUAAGUCAUUUCCAUUACUUUCUUUUUAGUUAGCUUUAAACAAAAUCUCAUUUAAACAAAGUUUAUGUUUUAUUUCUUAAGCUAAUCUUGAAAUGAAAAAGCACCAAUUUAACUUUGAAUUGGUAUCAGUUGUGAGUUGAAAACCCUUUCCAGUGAACGAUCCUAGAGCCACUAUGCUAUAUUAGCUAAAGUUAUCCUAAUGCAUAGUGAUAUAGGUUAUAAAUUUUGUUGAUCACUCCCUCAGUCAAGGAGCACCAACUGGACAUGAAUCAGCUAAGACACCAAUUGGGAAUGAAUCAGCAACCCACUAGAGGUUGUAGUGCACCAUACCACCUUCUAAUUGGAGGGAUGACUAGUCUUAAUUAUCAGGAUGAGUUUCCCAUGGUGAGUGCAUUACUAUGUAUGGUUACAUAUUAGACAAGACCUACGGUGUGUCAUGGCUUAAGGCUAUCAAGUAGUCAUGACCUUACCAACCAACUUCAUUGUGUCAUCUCUCAACCUUAAGAGAAUAUUGAGUUUAUACUAAAGUUAGCAAUGGCUUUGACCUACGGGUGAGAUCAUAAGCUAAUCAUAUAUUCCCUAUGGAUUGGGUCAUUGUUGAUGGAAGUCGGUAGCAAUAGGUAUUCUCAAAAGAGGUACCAUGAUAUCUCAUGGGAUUUAGACAGUGUGUCCCCUUGGGUGAUCCUAAGAAAGUGUGUUCAUACAAACUAUGACCAUAGUAGUUCCUUAAGUGGAACUUGACAUAGACUCUUUAACAGCUAAGACAUGUCAAUUAAAUAUAUAAUUGGACGAUCUGUAACUCAAAGAUAGUAGAGGUAAUCUUUAAGGAUUGAUAACUUUCACCUUAUUAAACUACAAACACUAAUUCAUGGGAAAACUAAACAUAAUGGAUAGCAGGUCACGGAUCCGAGCACGUAAUAUCUCAUUGUUAUUUACAUAGGAUAUUGGAGUUCAAUUGAUUCUCUAUGGUGGAAUGUUGAAUCAACUUUAGAAUUGGAUUUUGAGAAAGUCAGUACUCCUACAGGUCCCAAUAGUCCACACUCUAAGCUCAUAUAACCUAUUGACACAUAUUAUGAGGGUCGGAUUGGCUUUAGGUUCAUUUUUGUGUAUAAGGGCAUUUUGGUAAUUACACAAGGUUACACAAGGAUAAGUUAACAAGGUCUCUGGAUUGGACUAAUUGAUUAAUUAAUAGGCCUUAUUGGGUUAAUUAAUCAAUUAGGACUCAUUUUGAGUUAGAUUAAAUGACCCAAGCCCAUGUGGGCUCAAGUCACUUAAGCCCACUUAGGAACCCUAUAAAUACCCCCUAGGAGUUAGGGUUUCCACAACUUUUGUCCUCCACCUGUUAGGAUAGAGCCCUUAAAAGUAUAACAUGAUGUAAUAAAUUUGGAAUUCAUUAUUUAUUUAAGAUGUUCUAGUUUCACAUUUUUUAUUUAAUGUGAAGACGUUUGGAACCCAUCCCUCCUUCACAGAUUUAUCCAAAAGUUGCAUGCUCUGACUCAAGUUUCCAUGCAUACACAACCCUCUGAAGUGAUCAUCAACUCCAUUACCUUAGUAGUUUUUUCCAUGUCAAGCAUACAGUUAGUUUUGAGAGCGAGACCCACUUUCACUAUGAACUCAAUGACCGUGCUUCGAUCAACUAGUUUGGCAUUUUCAUUUCUUUAUGGCAGCCAAAUUUGGACUAUAUCUAACACUUGGCAGCCAAAGGGCAUGAAUCAAAAACAGAGGAAAGCGACAGAAAAAAAAAAAAAAAAAAAACAAAGCACAAAUGGUUGAAACAAAACGAACUAAUAAAAGCCACAUUUUAUGUUUCAAUCAACCGGCUUAGAUGUAGGUGAGUGAAACUGAAAAGAUUUUAAACAAGAACACGAGUAUUAUUCAGACAUUCUAUAGGAAAGCUACAACAGAGAUAAUUCAUGCUCAAACAUAACCAAAGGAAAUGAGGCAUGAAUCAACUAUAACCAAAUCACAAAAACCAAGAGAUUAACAAUAACAAGUGUGUGUCCUACGGUUAUCCAGACCCAAAACAUGGAAAAUUUUAGAAUCUAAUUGAUAAAUGAAAGAAAAAAAAUGGAAAAAAUGGAAGAAAAUUAAAUACACAAUUUAAAGGACUGAGAACCUGACCUGAACUCUCCUGUGAGAUUUAGCAAUUUAUGAACGUAUCUUCAGGCCCCUGUAGAUGAAUCCAUGCUUGGUGGUAGUAUGCUUAUUGAUGAUAGUCUGGAGAUGUGGAAAUCAAAUGAUUCUGAUGAACUAAAUUUGAUGUGUGAUGAGAUAGAUGACGUGUUAUCUAAGGAUCACAAAGUUCAUCAAUAGAAACUCGUUUGAUGAUGCGUCAAUCUGAUGGAGAGAAUCCGUUGAUAAAAAAUGAUGAAAUGCCAAUUUGAAGAUAGUGACUGCGAUUCAUCUCCCGAUAUGAAUCUAAUGAGAACGUUCAGGAGUUAGAAAUGGAGAGCUCUAAUGGCAGUGGUGAUUUGCAGCAACGUCAAUCUCUGGUGGCAGUGAUAGCAAGCUCUAAUGGUGGUAAACUAUGCCGACAAAGACAAUCUCCAUGAAUUGCACAACAAACUUCAAUGGCGAUCUCCAGUGGUGGUGAUGAAUUCUCCUACAACAAUGAACUCUCAUUCUCCUGAAGAGAUGAACUCUCAAAUGUCGGUGAAUUAUUUUUAUAUAUUUUUUUAAUAAAUUUUAAAUGAAAUAAAAUAAAUAAAUUUUAAAUUUUUAUAUAUUUUUUUAAACUCAUUUAACUUAUUUUAAUUUUUCAAUUAUAAAAUUAAAUAAUUUGAAAAUAUAUAAAUUUCUAACUAAUUUUAAUUAUAUUUUAUUUUCUUUUAUAAUUUUCAUAUAUAGUAUAACCAAUACCAAUGUUUUCAAAAUCAGACCGAUGUUUGAACCGGAAAAGUUACCAGUUCACGGUUCAUUAGUCGAACUGGUAGUCAAACCGCGGUCGAAUCAAUGACAUCAUAAAUAAUAAUUUUUUUCUUUUUUCUCACUAACUAAUCCCACAUUGGAAAUGGAUCAAAAAUAUGUAGGAAUUGUGGUAUAAAAGGCAAGUUAGAAUCAUUAACUUGCAAGACUAAAAGCUUAUUGGGCUUGAUGACAAACGGGUUGGAUAGGCUCCUCAUGAAGUGAUCCGGUUCUCUUAUGGUAUCAAAACUUUUUUUAUGGCUUUAAACUAAAUAAAUAAAUAAACUAUUCGGAUCGCUAAGAAUCGCCCGGUUGGGGCGGUUCACUAGUUCAACCGUUGGUUUGAUGCCCAAACGGUUUUUUGGGUGGACCAGACUGGUUUUGUUACCGAUCGGACCAACUGGUCCGGUCCGAUUUUUAAAUCAUUAUCAAAUACAAUAAAAUAAUUUUCCUUAACAUUUCUUUUAUUUUUUUAGUACUUCUCAAGAAUCAAACAUAAUCAUAAGACUAAUCAUAUUUUUUAUUAUAAGAUCAUUCGAAUACAAUGCCCCAAGUGAGAAUCCCAAAACGUUUUUCAAUGUUUUACUAAUAUUAAGAUUUUGAAAAUCUAUACAAUUUCUUUUUUUUUUUUUUUAAUAUUUGGAUGAUAGAGCAUGAGUAUACAAGAAAGGUCAAUGCAAAGAUCAAUGCCUACAAUCUUGAAAUUGCACUUCUAGAGUUGGGCCCUAAAAGAAAACCCAAUAGGGGGAAGGGGCAGCAUUUAAACCUUGUUCAAUGGGCAUGGCAACACCUUGGAGAAGGAAAGUCAUAUGUGAAAGCACCGGAUGAGGAGAUCAUGGCACAAUGCUACUUCAAAAAAAUGAGUACUACGUUCCCAAUAAUCAAACUUUAUCAUGAAAAUGUUGAUGAUAGUGAGGAUUCUCUUAUUUACAAGUAUAGAGACAAAUAGGCAAAAGGUAAAUAAAUUAUUAAUAGAGCUUAAAAUAAUAAAUUGAGCAAAUAAACAUAUGGUAAGAUCGAAACUCAUUAUCCUCCUACUAAAUAAAAUUCUAAUACCAUAUUGGAUAACUAAAUUUUUUAAGAACUUAAACUUAAGAUUUGGAUCCUUAUGAUUGUAUAUCACACUUUCUAAUAAUAUAUCAAAUACUUUUCUAGAUUUUGUGUUGACUUGUGAUUACUUCUCUAAAUCAAUUUUUCAGCAUCUUGUAUAUAUGUAUUUGUUAGGAUGAAUCAAUUAUCAAUGAAUGCAAAAAUGCAACUCCUCAUAGAGUCUCUUGCUUAUUUCCUCUACAACUUAAUUAGAUAAACUUAAAAGAACUCCAGAGUGAUUUCACAAAGAAAUAGGAUAAUUAUUUUAUUUUCAAACCUGCAAAAAAGAUAUGGAAACCGUAUCAUUGAAAUAAUUAGAACAGAAAAUAAUUGGAAUCAAAGUGCUAUUGCCUUAUUUUAAAAACAAAAAAUAAAUAAAAUAAAUCUUAGGCGCCUUUAUGCAAAACUAAAUAUUAGUUGCCUAAAGCUCCUUAUUUGGAAUACUAGAUGGGCGUCAAGCAUCAUUUCAACUCGGCACCUCCUUCGGUAAAUACCAAAAAUAAUAUUUGUUUUGGGAACAAGACUAGAGUUUUGAGCGGAUAUAAUAUAUUUUAAAAAAAUGCACAAAAUAGAUUUUCAAGUAAAAUAAUUCUCAAGUUUCAGCUACAUGGGCAUCCAUAUGGUCGGAGAUUAUUAUUUUUUUAAUGUUGUUCUAUGUCAUAAAACUUUAAUUAGUAACUACGAUUUUAUUUUUUAAAACAUAAAAUGAUAGUUAGCUAUUAUAGUUUUAAAUUUAUUUUUAAAAUCAUAGUCAUCAAUUACGAUUAUAAGCUUAAAUUUAAAACCUUAGUUGGUAACUAAUGUUUUAACCGUUUUACAACAAAAUCAAAAUUAUAGUUCACAACUAUGAUCAUGUGAUAUAGAUACAAGUGUCAAUAAAACACUCCAAUUUGAAAAUUAUUUUGAGAGGGGAUCUACUUUGUAGAUUUUUAUUUGUUAAAAUAAAUUAUUUUUCCUCAAGCCUUAGAAAACUAACUUGUUUAGAACUAAAUUCAAUUAUACACUCUCCUAAUUUUUCUUUUUAUAAGAUCAAAUCCACGUUAUCAGUUUUCCACUAGAAUCCUCAUGAUUACUCGUAGGAUUCUGGAGAUGAAAUGGAAGUGUGGUAUGAGAUGCAUGCUUGUUUAAACUUCAGUUUCAAUCUUGGUCAAUAAUGUCCAUUCCCUUAGAUAUGCAGGAUGUGGAACCACUGCUGGAUCCUUUGUGAGACUUGACCAUCAGUAUCCUUCUCUCCAUUUGUGGGGUACUGCCCACUUGAUCACUGCUGUGGAAAUUUGACCAACACACCCAAAUUCCCAACAACCCAAAACCACAGAUUUCUUCAUCCUUCCAUCCAUCUUUCUUGAAGUAAAAUAGACAUCCAUGUGGUCUUUGUUUUUCAUUGGUUUCACUUUCUCCCAAGAAUACUAAUCUUGUCUUUAUUGACUGAUUAGUUUAAUUAGAGAUCAUCCAAGAAAAAGAAUAUCACAUUUUAUAUUAAAAAAAAAAAGUAUUGAAUAUAUUAGCAAGAUAUCAUCCUCGAAAAGUUGGAAAUGUAAUCUUGUACAAGGAAAGGAAACAAGGGGGAGUCUUAAAUAAAUUGUUUCCAAAAGAGACCAAAUGACCCAUGUCUUUAGGGGUGUAUCCUUCAUGUAUAUAAAUAAGCAUUGAAAGCGAGGGAAUAUGGAAGUUUAGAGACAAGACUUUGUUUUCUAUGAAUAAAUUAAAUGUGGUUUCAUGGCUUCCAGCCCUUUUCAAAGUAUUCAGUGGAGAUUGGCCCGAUUCCAAUGGAUUGAUCACUUUUUCCAUAAUGCAUAGUUUGAUUAGGUCACCAACCAUUCGCUAAGCCGUCAUACCUUUUUUCUACACCAACUCAAAAACCCCACUUGUCCAAUAUGUUUUUAUUUUUUAAAACAGCCAUUAACACAACAUUUUUAAACACAUCCAUUCUCAUGUCUCUCUACCUAACGUUAAUAUCCCAUUUUUAAGUGAUUGAUGUAACCAUUUUCAAACACUUCCAUUUUCAUAUCUCUCACAUAUCUCCAUCUGAAUUUUGAAGUGAUUCUACUUUGAAAAAAAAUACUUUUAAAGAAAAUAUUUCAAUUAAAAACACAUUAAACAAAAAAUACUAUUAAACACACUUUUAAUUUAUAUUAUUUUUUAUCAGUAACACUUUUACUAUAAAAAAAUACUUUUAGUGGUAAUCACUUAAUAUUUGAAUAUACAAAUAAAAUUUACCUUUUAUAUAAUGUAUUAGAAAAAAAAAGGUUUUUAAAAGAAACAUCCAUCAAUAUAUUAUAUAACAAAUUAUUGUCUUUAAAACCUAAUUUUUAUUAUAAAAAAAAUGCUUCUAAAAAGGUAUUAUAUCUCACUCAAAAUUACUACCAAAUCAAUUCUAAUAAUAGUUUGAAAAUGGGUUGAACUUUUAUAUUUAUCAAGAAAAAAUUGUAGAAGUAACCACUAUGUUUGAAAAUUAUAUGUCAAAAAUAUUUUUAUUAAAGAGAAAGAUAAUUAUAACAAAGCUUAUUGUCAUUAUUUCUCGAUAACACAAUGAAAUCGUAUGGAGCUUAUAAUCAAAAGUUCUUUUCAAAUGACUAACAAAGGGUUUUAUUCUUGAGUUGUUUUAAUUUACUACUAUUUUUAUCAUUUACCUAUGUUAUUAAUGGUGAUUAAAUGAUAAAAAUAUAUAUAUUUAAUGCAUAUUAAUUUCUUUUCACAUCCAAUUUUCAAGUGGAUAUGCUAUAAAAAUGUUGUAAAAUAAUUUUUUUAAAAUAACAUUUUCAUGUGAUUUUUUAUUCAUAAUUAGUUAUAGAAAAAAAUUAAAAUGCUUAGUUAUGAUUAAAACGAUUCCAUUUCAUAUUUGACAUCAACACAUGUUAUUUUAUCAUCUAAUAUUGUUACAUUAAAAAACACUCAAUUUAACAUGAAUAUUAUUAAAUAUAUAUAUAUAUUUAAAAUUAUUUUAAUCUUUCUAUUUAAAAAAAAAAAUUGAUGCAUUAUCGAUAUUUCCAUGAAAUCCACACGUGUCCCAUGAUUAUAGACUAAUUCGUUUGUAGUGUGGACGCAAUGACAAGUCAGAAGUCUCCCAUUUCUUUUCUAGUCAAUGGGCAUGUUCCACAUUUAUUUAUGAUAUUUCGGAUUACACGAAGACUUCCAAAAGCAAUCGAUGGCCCAUUUUUCUUCUGAUAAGCUUCAUGGAAUCUUUUAGACGAAGGAGGAUGCUACUUCCACAUUCUUUAACCGAGCGUGUCAACCAAGCUCUCUCGAAUUUUUCUAUAUUCUUAAUUUCUAAAAAAAAUUCAAUAUGGGAUAUCUAUUUUAAAAUUAUCUUUUUGAUAGAUAUUUUAUAAAUUUUAAAAUGUUUUUUCAAUUAUUAUACAUCUCAAAUUAUUUCUAUACCAUUUUUUUAUUUGGUCUUAUCUAGUUUAAACAAUGAUAAGAUAAUUUCAUAUAUGAUUUUUUAAGUAUUAUUGUUUGUAACCUAAAUCCAUUUGUGUGUAUUAUUUUACCUUAAUUUCGUUUGUUUGCAUGUUCAACCUAUGACCUAAAUUUCAUUACAUAUAUUCAACCAUUUAGAAUUUUUGUUUGAUAUGUAAUGUUUUACCUUAAUAUGUUCUCAAAUUACAUAUAUUAUGGGGAUAUAUAUAGAUAGAUUAUGGUUUGUUCCAUUUCCGUCACUUCAUGAGUUUCCCCUAAUCCACUUACUCCACUCCCAAUAGUGAUAAACUAUAUCUUGAAAGUGAAGUUGGCUUCACUUAUCCCUGAAUAAAAGACCUAUCCUCAAGAGUCAAGAUACUCCAAUUUGAAUUUGAACUCAAACCUAAGGAUAGAUCUUCGACCACCACCAUCUAUUGUCUCCUAAUAGGGGAGAUAUUAUUAGCCUUUUUUUUUCUUUUUCUUUUUUUCUUUUACCCCACUUUAACCAAAAGAUAAGAUAAGCUUAUUACAAGAUUAUAGAAAGAACGUACUUGUCUUUAUUUAUGAUAUUUUUUUUAAAAUAAUUCAACUUUAUUAAAUCUAAGUUAGAUAUAAAUUCCAAUUAUUCUACUUUUGACCAAAUCAUAGCGGUGACCAACACUAACUAUUUAAAAAAUUAAAAUAAGUAAAAAAAAACACUUUUUUUAACUUUAAGGUGGUAGAGCUUCAAAACAAUGAACUAAAAAGAUAAAACUAAGUGCAAGUUAAAAUAGAGAAUAAGGAACUCAAACAUUUUAUAAGAUAUACUUGACAUAAGUGAAAAUAAUUUAAAAGAAAAAAUAGUUCUUGCUUUGUGUGAAACAAAGUACUAUUAUUUUUAUGUUUAUUUCAUGUUAUCCAUAAAACAAUACAAAUGAUUUCAAUAGUUUGAGUGUUCUCCAAUUUUUAAAAUUCAUUCUCACUAUUUCAAGCUAUAUUUACUAAAGUUAUAUGUUGGAUUUCUAAAAAUGAGGGAAUAUAUAAGUUAAUGGAUGAAGGUUUGAUUUUAACAAUAAGGAUUGUGUUAUGGUGCUCAUACAAUUCGAACCAAAAUACACGCAACAACUCUAGAAGUAAUGAUGUAAUGUUACUUAUGUUGGAUUUUAUGAAAAUAUCAAUAAAAAUACUUAUAUUCGUGUAAAGUUUAUGUGGUACCAAUCAUAUGAUAUCAUAUAAACAUUUUAUGUUUUAUUACUGGUUUCAUUCAUCUAUAUUUAUCUUAUCUAUUUAUGUUUUAACCCUAUAUAUUUAUAUUUUCAUUCAAUAUAAAUUUUAUCAUAUAGUUUCAAUAACAAAAACAAAUGUACAUUUAAUACCGAAACUGCUUCUAACAUUAAAGUAAAUAUGAUUUCACGAAUUUCAUAUUUUCUAUCAUCUUUACCAAAAUUGAAUAGGGUUGAUUACUUUUUUCCCAUUCCAUGAUUUGAUCGCGUGAAGAUGAUUCCACCACCAAUCAUUUACUAAAAUGUGACACCCAUUUUCUACACCAACUCAAGCACUCCACUUUUGUUAAUAGCUUUUAGCCGAUAUAAAAAAGUGAACAAAACCGCUUUCAUAUUUUACCUACCAGGGCUAAGAAAUAUAAAUAGAGAUAGAAAUAAUUACUAUUUGUUAAAUAUAUAUUUUAUGUUUUAAAUAUAUAUAUAUAUAUAUAUAUAUAUAUAUAUAUAUAUAUAUAUAUAUAUAUAUAUAUAUAUAUAUAUAUAUAUUCUUUUUAAAAAUAAAAAUAAUCAUGAUAUUAAUUUGUUAAAAUUUACUCUAACAUCAUCUAAUACAAAUAAAUCAUGUACGAAAAUGCAAGAAUUAUGAUCAAGAGUUUCAUCCAACCAAUUAUAAAAAUUAUGUUUUACCUUUAAAAUUGGUUUUUAACACAAAGCUCUUCUAAUUCAGAACUUUAUUCUUUUACUCUUAUUUUUAUCAUUUAAAUAUAUGAUUAAUCAUGAUUAGAUAUUAAAAAAACAACUUUCAUAUUUAAUAUAUUCCCUUAUCAUCGAUUAAGUUUGAUUUUUUUUUUUUUUUGUUGUGUGUAUAUCUUUAUACUUUUUCUUCUUACAAAUUUUUUUUCACAUUUUAAUAUUUUUAUCAUUUACCAAAGCUUCAUUUAAAAUUUUCGUGUUUUUGAUAAUUUUUUAUUUGUAUAAAAAUUUACAUGAAUAUAAAUAUUUUUAUUGAUAUUUUGAUAAAAUCCAACAGCAGGGACAUUUCAUCAUUGCUUCUUGAGGUGGUGCGUGUAUAGUGCAUAUAGCAUGGGAAUAAGGAUAAGUCUCCUUUUUUACUAUUCAAUUCAAUGCCCUUUCACAUUCAUUUAUUAAUUGUUUGGACUUGUGAAAGCAACCUUCCCCCGUUUUCUUGACGCAACCUGCUACUUCCACGUGAGCAUGCCAAACACGCUUAGGGCCUGUUUGUUGAUGUUUUCAAAUACAUUUUUGGAAACAGUUUUUAGUGUUUUCAGAAAUAAAAUUAUGUUUGUUUAUUCUCAAAAAUAAAAAGAAUUAAAAAAAAACAUAUUUAUUUCAAUUAAUAAAAAUAAUUUUUAAUAACAAAUAAAACAAAAAAACUUGUUUGGAAAAUAUUAUUGUUGGUUUUGUUUUUUAAAGUUGAGUAUUUUAUUUAACUAAUUGAUAUUGUAAAUAUAUAAAUAAUUUUUCUUCAUAAAAAUAAAAAUGUUUCAUUUUGAACAUUUUUUGCAUUGGUUUUAAUUUUUUAAAACAAAUUAUUACUUUGUAAACAUGUCUAAAUAUGUUUGAUUUUAAUAAUUGAUAAACACCAUCUUAUCAAAAUAUCAUAAAUCGGUAAAUAUCAAUAAUUGGAUUUUAUGAAAUAAAAUUUAUGAUAUCAAAUAAUAAUGCAUUAUACUUGGAAACUGAUGAUCUAUCUUUUUUACUAAUAAUAUAUUUAUGAUAAUUUUUAUUUAAAAAUAUUUAUAAUUAUAUUUUAUAUUUAAGAAUUAUAUAAAAGAUAAAAAAAAUUAAAGUAAAUCAAACUAAUUUAUUUAUGAAAAUUUAUUAAUUUUUACUAUUUUACAUAUUAUAUAUAUAUAUAAGACAAGAAUCCUUGUUCUCUUUUCUCUCUUCUCCUCAUGGUUUCUCUUCCAAGACCCAAACUUUUAUUCACGGUUGAACUAUUUUUCUCCUCAAAGAACAACUCAUGAAAGUCAAAAUCUAGAUCUAUGAUUGUUGUAAAGAUUAUUGGUUAGGAUUUUGCCUCUUGUGUUAUUGUUUAUGUUUUUGUUUGGUUUUUGGGAAAUCCUAGAAUUUAUGGAAGUUUAGGCUUUGAAAUGCAUUAAAAAAAUCAUAUUAGGAUAAAAUCCCAAAAUAUCCAAAAAAUAUUGAAAUGGAAAUAAAAAAAAUAAAAAUAAAAAAAUUGAAUUUUUGUUAAACCGAAUUUUCAAUUUUCUAAUUUUUCCCAUUUUCCUUGGCAGUGUAAAAAAAAAAAUGAUAAGAACACCCAAGAAUACUAAUUGAAAACACAGACAUUUUUUUUUUUUUUUACUUCUUAGAAUAGUGGCAACAACACAAAAAAAAAAUCAUUUUAAAACCAGAUUUUAGAAAACACAUAAAACACUUGAGAACAAAAAAACACUCUCUUAUCAAACAUGAUUUUUGUGUUUUUGUUCUAAAAAUGGAAAACAGUUUUUGGAAACACCAACCAAACAAGUCCUUAAUGACUCAUUUUUCUUUUCUUUUUUUUGCUUAUUUGUGUAUUCUGUUUUCUAUUUUUAUUUUUAAAGAAAAUAAAAAUCAAGUUUAAAAACAUGUUUAGAUAUUAUUCUUAAUUUUUAUUUUUGAAAAAUUGAGUUCAAAAAAGGUCAAAAAUGAAAAUAAUAAUUUGGUGCUUUUAAAAAAAUUUUAUGGCGAUGUUUUUCAAUCUAACAUAAAAAUAGAAAAAUUAUCUUUAGAAUUAAUUAUAAAAUUAUAAUAAAAAAUUUUGUAUAUUAUUUUAAAAUAAAAAUAUAAUCAAAUACAAAAUAAUAAAAUAAAACAAGGAACAAAUAUGAUAUAAUAUCAUAUAGUAGCAUAUAAUAUAUAAUAUAUAAUAUCAAUAAAUAACAACUAAUAAAAUUAUUAUAUAUGUUAUAUUUUAUGCUUGCUAAAUCAAUUUAAUGUUUUAAAGUGACUUCAUAACUUGAUUUAAAUUAUUAAAUAAAUUAAAAUUUUGAUAAAAUAACUUAAUAUCAUAAUUUAAAAUUAAAAUAAUUUUAAGUGUUAAGUCAAAAUAAUUAAUUUAUUUUUAAUGUCAAAUCAUUUUUAUUAGAUAUUUACUUUGUUCAGUAAAAUUGAGUUAAUCUUUUGAAAUUAUCAAAUUUACAUUUUUAUUUUUCUUAAUUUAAAGCAAUAAAUUUAUUUGUUACACGAUUUGUAUUAAUCGUAUUCCAAAUAUAUAAAAUAAUUACAAUAAUUACUAAAUAUUUAGCUCAAAGAAAAUGUGUCGUGAAUAUAAAAUCAUGCAUAUUAUAUAAAUUACUAUUACAUGUGUGAGUAAAUAAGAUAGAAAUGAUUUAACAUUCAAAAUAAAUUUAUUAUUUUAAUUUAAUAUUUAAGAAUUAGUUUUAAUAUUAAAUAUAUUUAAUUUAUUUAAUAACUCAAAUUAAGUUAUUAUUAAUUAUUUAAUAUAUAAGAAUAAAAAGAUAUAAAAUAAAAGCAAGGAAAUAUAAAAUAUUUCAAAAUUAUUAAUUAUUUUUUCAUGAGUGGAUAUAAAAAUAACUAGGGGAGUAUGAUUUUAAUUUUAUAUUCUUAUACUGCUGCUGGAAUAAUAUGUUUGCAUUAUUUUUCGAAGGUGAAAAUAUAAAAUUACAAACAUUCAAAUAACAUAUAGAGAUUGUUUUGUUACCAUUUUAAUAGGAAUAACUAUAAAUGCAUAAGAGCAAUUCUCAUUGGAUAUAGUUUCUAUAUACUUCAUUAAAACACGGAAAAUAAUUUAAAUUUAUUCUAAAAAAGUAGUUCAAUUUUGAAAAACAAGCCCUCAAAACCUUGUUUCCAGCACAAAACUUGCCAAUGAGUCACGUGGUAUAAACUUCCUUUGAUUGAACUUUUGAAGAAAAAAAUCACGCAGUGUUUUGUUUUUGAAAAGUGUAAAGAAAAAUAUAUUUGUUUUUAUAUCUACAUAUUAACAAAAAGGAAACUUUCAAUCCAUGUUAUAAAUAAUAAAAUAUGAAUUAAACAUUUUUGCUCUUCUUUCUUUCCUCAUGAGCACACCAUAGUAGUCUAUCUGGUUCUUAGAAAAUAUUAAGAAUAGAAAAAAAAAAUAUUAAGAAAUAAUUUUUUUUUAUAUUUUAUUAACAUGAAAAAUAUUAAAAUCAAAUCAAUGUAAUUAAAAAUAGUUUAAAUUUUAUGCAUUUUAAAUUAUUUUAUCUUUAUAUAAGAGAAAAAUAAAUAAAUGGGUUUAAAGAAACAUAUAAAUAUAAUUUAUUAAUAAUAUUAAUUUUUUUUUUCAUUUUCCUUCAUCUAAAAAACUGAAGAUUUUUUUAAAAAAUAAAAAAAUUACUACCUAAAUUGACUUGCCUUUUAAGUAAUAAUUAUUAGGAAUAUAAAAUAGUAUUAAUAGGAUAAAAUAAAGCGUCAUGUAAGCUAAUAUUUUGUAUUUUAUAAUUACAUAGAGUAAUCAUAAAGUCACAUAUGACAAAACCAAAUAAAUAAAUAAAUGAGAGCUUGCAUCACCAACUGGGUUAUUAAAGUAAUUAAGCCAAGAAAAUUCUUAUGCAGAGUCUGAUGAUUCAACAAGCUACCUUCCAGACAAUGGUGAUGACUUUGAAGGAAUCCUUCCUCCAAUAAGAAGAUCUAAGUAAUCAUCAGCCUUUUGUCUUCCAUCAAGAAUAUUUUACAAGCUUUGCAGUUUCUGUUCCAAAAGCAGCAAGCAUGUGUCUACACAGCAGCCUGCCAGAAGUCUUCUCAGCCAAAAGAGGGUUUUUCGGGGGAUUUCGGUAUAAAAGUGAAUCUUACUAUUCACUAUUCACUAUUCAAGCACGGGUCUACUAUUCAUGGUUACUAUUCAAGUUUCCUUUUUUGCCUAUUUAAGGAGGCUCGAGCCUCAUUUGUAAGCACGUUCAAUUUAGGCUCCCAUGCUCUCCAUUCUCUCUUCUUUCUCUCUCAUCAUGUAAACUCUUCAAGCUUUCAAGCUUUCUUCAAGCUUUCCUACCCCUGUCUAUUGUAAGAUAUUUCUCCUUGUGUAUAAUAUAAGUAUGUUUUGAUUACCUCCUAUAUGGAUGGUUUUUAAUUAUGUUUUGUUUUUCAUUUUAUUUUAUGUUCUUGUACUGCCUAUAUGGUCGGUUUUAAUUAAGCUUUGUUUUUAAGUUUAUGUCUUUUAUUUUGUACCGCCUACAUGGUCGGUUUUAAGCUUAUUAUGAACUAACAAGUUUUUGGUUCCUUCUCUUUAAAUUUCUUUAUUGGAUAUCUUUUGUAUUUUCUAACCCUCUUCUUUGUUUUGAAUCAUGGCAUAAUUCCGAUUUUCUGGAAAUCUUGAGGGGUCUUAGCUGCUGCAAGCAUGGCUUGUAACUGUUGCUUUUUAAGGAGAAACUGAGACAUAUCAUCACUGGCUGAGACUUGUGUGGGAUUUUGGAGGAAAUACUGCUUAACUGUAUCAAUAGAUGCGUCAUUUUUUAAGGCAUCCCACCAUUUAGUUUUAAAGGUCCUUCCAAGAGAUGGAAAGGCUGCUGAUUCAUCUGUAAUGAUAAUAUAGUCCCACUGGACUAUCCAAGCAAGGCCAAAUUUGCUGAAGAAGAAUAGUAAAGGGGGAAAAGCUGAAAGUUCUCUAGGGAUAUCAUUAUCUGAAUCAGUCCUUGAUUCAGAGUCUGAGUUUAACAUUACCUUACAAAGCAUAUUUUUUAGGUCAUCUGAGACACUUAAGUUGUUAAUCUUUUGCUUAACUCUACAAUUUUUUUUAUAAUGGCCAACUUUGCCACAUUUAAAACAGAUAAUUGGCUUGAUGUCUAAAGGAGUUUCUUACUUUUUCUGGGUAUCUCUGUUGACCCUUCUUUGGACGUGCCUUGACUGCUUAGUAUCAUUCAUCCUAUAGUUGUCAUAGGUACCUCUCUUACUGUGGUAAAACUUAUCUUUGCUAGGCUUCCUGCUUGGCUUUUGCUUAGAGGGAGGCAUAGUUUCUUUUUGGCUGAAACCAAACUGGCUAUAGAAUGAUCCAAAUUCAUUCUUGUAGAUUUUUUGUUCAUUCUUCAUUUGUUGCUUAAGCUUGAAGUCAUUGCACAACUUAAUCCCUUUAGCUGUGACAAUGCUUAUAAUCUCACCAUAGGUUAGCUUAUCAUAAGGGAUUUGACCAUUAUACUGUUCCCUUAUCUUGAUCCUAAUUCUCUCAGAGAAAAGCUUGGGUAAUCCUGAGAUGAACUUUUCUUUCCAAAAAGACUGGUUACAAUCUGAUCUUAGCAUGACUUUGGUUAGGAAGACUUCCUUAUACCACCUAAAAUCAUGAAGCUUGGGACACUUAAGGUUGGUUAAGAGAUCUGCAGUUUUAUCCUUAAUUUUUGCAGGAUCUCCAAUGAAGUGCUUGGAUAUUGAGUAGAUUAGAGUAGCCACUGCAUCCUCAAUAUCUUGGCCAUCUUCGUCUUUAACCACUUCAUUACUCUCAUUAAUCCUAUAGGCUUUAAGGAUACUAUUUCUAUCAUCAAAAGUGAGAUAAUUAUCCCACCAACCCUUAAGCUGUCCUAUAAACCCAGCAACAAUGGUCUGAGCUACAGCAUGAUCUGGCAGUCUAUUGUUUAAUUUAUAGGUUGUACUAACCAUGGUCAUUUCUUGAAGCUUAGUGAGUAUGUUAUACUCGGUCAUACCGUCUAUGUUCCAUUCAUAGAUAGUACCACUGGUGUAUGAGGCUUGAGUAUACUGAUUUCUUUCCUCAAACUGCAUGUCAGGAAAAGUAGGCCUAGGAUAGUAAUUCCUAGUCUUAAAGGUUUCCAAGUUGUUAAUAAUUUGAUUAUGGGGUUCCUCAAACAUCUUAAUUAGUUCAUCAGCUUCUUCUUCUGAACUAAUAUCACCUUUAACCAUAUUGAUUCUCUUAUCAGGCUGAACAGUCAAAGGGGCAACAAGAUUAUCCUUAAUCUUUUGAUUAAUCCUAUCAACAAAAGCCUGGUUGAUUUGGGGAUUUUCUUGGAAUUCCUUAGAAAAUUCAAAGGACUCAGUGCUCUUCGUAUUAUUAACACGCUUAUAAGGAUAAUCUGGAUAUUCCUCUUGUUUGAAGAGUUCAAACCAAAUCCAAAACUUAAUAUUUUUCUUUUCUUGUCUUAAGUAGGCAUAGAAUUCUUCUUGGUAAAUGGUUCUAAUGACCUUAGGGACCGUGCUAAAGAACCAAUCAUUUCUUUGCUUAUUGACUUCAGAAUAGAAGUCUUUUCUUAAGAGAUCCUUGUUGAUCUCAAAGUCCUCAUCACUUAGGCUUAUUGUGUUAAUCAUCUGGGAAUAGGUAGGAGACAUAACAGGGGACUCAUCCUGUUGGGAUUCUUGAGUAGACUCAUUUUCCUCAGAGUAAAAUGGUCUAGCCACGUUGGUGUAACUUCUGACACCUGUUAGCUUAAUGUUCUUAGGAUUUCCUGAGCUGGAUCCUUCUUCUUCCCUAGUGGUUCUAACUGGGAUGGAAGAGCUUGAAGCUCUAGAGGGUUCAUAAACAGAAACUCUAGGGCUGUUAGAAUGUUUGAAAGAUUUGGAGAAAACGAGUUCUCCUCCUCCAUCUGGAUAUUGAACAAUUUGUUCAAUACUUUCAGAACGUUGUGCAAUGGCUGGAACAUCAUUAGCAAAAUGUCAAUUUUCAGGAAAAUCAACAUCUUUCCACAAGAUCUUCUUGGGGAUGAUGAAAUCUGACUUAUCUAACAUAUCUGAGUGAAAGUAAGUGGUCUCACCUUUAGGACUGGUGCAAAGAGCCCCAGAUCCAACGCUUGUGUUCAUGCUCUUAUAGGCAAACCUGGUUAUGAUUGAAACAGGACUGUUUCCUGGUUUGAUCUUAAAGCCAUGGGUCUUAAUAUGCAGGACAACGGAAUCUAAGAUGUUUGCAUCUCUUAUUCUAACUGUGAAGUUAGGAUAGCACUGGAAAUAAACUGGGUCAUCAUUCAGUCCAGCUUGGACUGCGCCUAUAAUAGAAUCUCGAUAUUCGAGAUGCCUAUUAUCCCUUAAACACAUGACAAUAGAGGUGUUUAAACCUAAUCUUGUCAAAGGCUUAGCUGCUACUUGAAUCAUACCAAAGUGUAUGAAAUUAUAGUCAUCUUUCUUAUGCUUUUCAACGGAUCUGUUAUCUAGAAGUCUUAUGACUUGGUCGUCUUGUUCUAAACUGACUGACAUUUCAGAGGUCUUGAUGGUAUAACUAUAAAUGCAUAAGAGCAAUUGGAUAUAGUUUCUAUAUACUUCAUUAAAACACUGAAAAUAAUUUAAAAUUUAUUCUAAAAAAGUAGUUCAAUUUUGAAAAACAAGCCCUCAAAACCUUGUUUCCAGCACAAAAUUUGUCAAUGAGUCACGUGGUAUAAACUUGCUUUGAUUGAACUUUUGAAGAAAAAAAUCACGCAGUGUUUUGUUUUUGAAAAGUGUAAAGAAAAAUAUAUUUGUUUUUAUAUCUACAUAUUAACAAAAAGGAAACUUUCAAUCCAUGUUAUAAAUAAUAAAAUAUGAAUUAAACAUUUUUGCUCUUCUUUCUUUCCUCAUGAGCACACCAUAGUAGUCUAUCUAGUUCCUAGAAAAUAUUAAGAAUAGAAAAAAAAUAUUAAAAAAAUAAUUUUUUUGAUAUUUUAUUUAACAUGAAAAAUAUUAAAAUCAAACCAAUAUAAUUAAAAAUAGUUUAAAUUUUAUGUAUUUUAAAUUAUUUUAUCUUUAUAUAAUAGAAAAAUAAAUAAAUGGGUUUAAAGAAACAUAUAAAUAUAAUUUAUUAAUAAUAUUAAUUUUUUUUCCUUCAUCUAAAAAAAAUGAAGAUUUUUUUUUAAAAAGAAAAGAAAUUAUUAUCUAAAUUGACUUGCAUUUUAAGUAAUAAUUAUUAGGAAUAUAAAAUAGUAUUGAUAGGAUAAAAUAGAGUGUCAUGUAAGCUAAUAAUUUUGUAUUUUAUAAUUACAUAAAGUCACAUAUGACAAAACCAAAUAAAUAAAUAAAUGAGAGCUUGCAUCACCAACCGGGUUAUUAAAGUAAUUAAGCCAUUUGACAUCAUAUAUGAACCCAUAUGAGAUUUUUUUUUUUUUUUGAAAAAAAAGAAAGGAAAAAGAAAUUCCUCUUGAAAGGGGGUGUUUUUUAAAAAAAAAAUUUAAAAAUAAGCUUUUUAAAACAAGACUAUUUGGCAAGAAGUUUUAAAAAAGAAAACAAAAAGUUUGUUUGGAUGAAAGAAUUUAUAUUGUUUUUAUGUUUUACUUUUAUUUUAUAAAAAAUUUACAAAUUCAAUUUAUAAUAAUAUGAAAUCAAAUUUAAGUCUUAUUAAAAAAAAAUUAAAUCUACAAUUAUGUAUAACUUAGAUAAACAUUUUUUAAGUUGUUUUGUUGAAUAAGUUAAUAUAUGAAUGAUAUAAUUUAUCAUAUUUAAUAAUAAUAUUAAAUGCAUCCAUAACAAAUAUGAAUUUUAUAAGUAUGCAUUCAUUAUUAAAAUAUAUCAAAUAUAUAUCAUAGUCCAAUAUAUUUAUAAAUAGGCCAGCUUGCUUAAGUGGUGUGCAAGGUUUAUUACAAAUCCGUGUGAGUAGCGGUAGCACAAAACACCGAGUUCAUUGGUCAUGGACUCGGGGCUCCUUCGUAAUUAAUUCCAACAAGCAAGUCAGUUUGUAAAAUUCAGUAGAAUAAAUUCUGUCAGCGCCCCAGAUUUUGAAAUUGAACCGUUGGUUUCCACCACAUUCCCAGCAUUCUUCCUCCCAACUCUUUCCCGACCAUCUUCCUACCUCCUCACAGAGAAGCCGGUGACGAACUCAACGUCACAAAAUGCCGAAACUACCCUUUUUAUUUGCCACAAUUCCAUUUCCAGGCCAUCUUCCUCCCUCCUCACAGAGAAGCCGGUAACGAACUCAACGUCACAAAAUGCUGAAACUACCCUUAUUAUUUGCCACAACUCCAUUCCCCACCCUGUUCUUCCUCCUCGUCCUCUCCAUAUUUCAGGUAAUUUCCCAAAAUUUGGACGAUGAACGAUCAAUCCUACUAGACGUUAAACAACAACUGGGCAAUCCACCGUCACUCCAAUCGUGGAAUUCCUCAUCCUCGCCCUGUGAUUGGCGGGAAAUUACAUGCACCGACAAUACCGUCACUGCAAUUUCACUCCACAAUAAGACCAUCAGAGAGAAAAUUCCAGCCACAAUUUGUGACCUCAAGAACCUCAUCGUACUUGACCUUUCCAACAAUUACAUUCCCGGCGAGUUCUCGGAUAUUCUCAAUUGUUCCAAGCUUGAGUAUCUGCUCUUGUUGCAAAACUCCUUCGUGGGUCCAAUUCCAGCUGAUAUUGAUCGACUUUCACGUCUCCGGUACCUAGACCUCACAACAAACAACUUCUCUGGAGAUAUUCCCGCAGCAAUUGGGAGGCUACGGGAGCUGUUCUACUUGCUUCUGGUUCAAAAUGAGUUCAACGGCACCUGGCCAACGGAGAUUGGUAAUUUGGCGAAUCUUGAACAAUUGGCCAUGGCCUAUAAUGACAAAUUCCGGCCUUCAGCCCUUCCAAAAGAGUUUGGCGCAUUGAAGAAGUUGAAAUAUCUGUGGAUGACGCAGGCGAAUUUGAUUGGCGAAAUACCGGAGAGCUUCAACCAUCUGUCGAGUCUGGAACACUUGGAUCUCUCACUCAACAAAUUAGAAGGUACGAUCCCUGGAGUCAUGCUUACGUUGAAGAAUUUGACCAAUUUGUAUUUAUUCAAUAAUAGAUUGUCCGGCCGCAUUCCUUCAUCCAUAGAAGCUCUCAACUUGAAAGAAAUUGAUCUUUCCAAGAACCAUUUGACGGGGUCGAUACCAGCGGGUUUCGGGAAGCUACAAAAUUUGACCGGUCUGAAUCUUUUCUAGAAUCAGUUGUCAGGAGAGAUACCAGUAAAUAUAAGCCUCAUUCCUACACUGGAAACUUUCAAAGUUUUUAGCAAUCAAUUGAGUGGAGUUUUGCCUCCAGCAUUUGGCCUUCAUUCGGAGCUCAAACGCUUUGAGGUUUCCAAGAAUAAACUAAGCGGGGAAUUACCUCAACAUUUAUGCGCUAGGGGGGCUUUGCUUGGAGUGGUUGCUUCCAACAACAAUCUCAGCGGGGAAGUGCCCAAGUCCCUCGGGAAUUGCACAAGUUUGCUCACCAUUCAGCUUUCCAACAAUCGCUUUUCAGGUGAGAUUCCUUCCGACAUCUGGACAUCCCCGGACAUGAUAUGGGUGAUGUUAGCUGGAAAUUCAUUCUCGGGGACACUUCCAAGUAAAUUGGCAAGGAAUUUGUCCAGAGUGGAGAUCAGUAACAACAAGUUUUCUGGUCCAAUUCCUGCUGAAAUCUCUUCUUGGAUGAACAUAGCUGUGCUCAAUGCCCGCAACAAUAUGUUGUCAGGAAAAAUUCCAGUGGAAUUGACCAGUCUUCGGAACAUCUCUGUUAUGUUGCUUGAUGGGAAUCAAUUCUCGGGUGAGCUUCCAUCCGAGAUCAUCUCAUGGAAGUCGCUCAAUAAUUUGAAUCUCUCAAGAAACAAACUUUCUGGCCCAAUUCCCAAGGCAUUAGGUUCUUUACCUAACCUUAAUUACCUUGACCUGUCAGAAAACCAGUUCUCAGGUCAAAUUCCUCCUGAACUUGGUCAUUUGACGCUUAAUAUCCUCGAUCUAUCGUUCAACCAACUCUCUGGGAUGGUCCCCAUUGAGUUUCAAUAUGGAGGAUAUGAACACAGUUUCUUGAACGAUCCCAAGCUGUGUGUCAAUGUUGGCACUCUGAAACUCCCUAGAUGUGAUGCCAAAGUCGUUGACUCCGACAAAUUGUCAACCAAAUAUCUCAUUAUGAUCCUAAUUUUUGUUGUAUCUGGUUUCCUAGCUGUUGUUUUGUUCACCCUGCUCAUGGUUCAAGAUGAUAAUAGGAAGAAUCACAGUCGAGACCAUACACCUUGGAAGGUUACCCAAUUCCAAACACUAUAUUUCAAUGAACAGUACAUAUUGACCAGUUUGACAGAAAAUAAUUUGAUCGGACGCAGUGGUCAGGGGAAAUAUACCGAAUUGCUAAUAACUGUUCUGGUGAACUCCUAGCGGUUAAAAAGAUUUGUAAUAACAGGAGAUUGGAUCACAAGCUUCAGAAACAAUUCAUAGCAGAAGUCGAGAUAUUGGGCACCAUACGCCAUUCCAAUAUAGUGAAGUUGUUGUGCUGCAUAUCGAAUGAAAGCUCAAGCCUUCUUGUUUAUGAGUACAUGGAGAAGCAGAGUUUGGAUAGAUGGCUUCAUGGGAAGAAGCAGAGAACAACGUCCAUGACAAGUUCAGUCCAUAACUUUGUCUUGGAUUGGCCAACAAGGUUGCAGAUUGCUAUCGGAGCUGCAAAAGGCCUAUGCCACAUGCAUGAAAACUGCUCUGCCCCGAUCAUACAUCGAGAUGUGAAGUCCAGCAACAUCUUGCUAGAUGCCGAGUUCAAAGCAAAAAUUGCGGAUUUUGGAUUGGCCAAGAUGUUGGUCAAGCAAGGAGAGCCCGACACCAUGUCAGGAAUUGCAGGCUCUUACGGAUAUAUUGCCCCUGGUAAGACCAUCAAGGCCCUCCUUUCCACAUGUUUUCAUUUCCAUAAUUUAUCAAUAAUUUUUAUCAUACAAUUCUUGUAUACUUGGAUGAUAGAGUAUGCUUAUACAACAAAGGUGAACGAAAAGAUCGAUGUAUAUAGCUUUGGAGUAGUCCUGCUUGAGCUAGUGACGGGGAGAGAACCCAACAACGGGGACGAGCUCAUGUGCCUUGUAGAAUGGGCAUGGGAUCAGUUCAGAGAAGGGAAAACCAUUGAGGAAGUGAUGGAUGAGGAUAUCAAGGAACAAUGUGAAAGAGCACAAGUGACCACUCUCUUCAGUCUAGGCCUCAUGUGCACCACCAGAUCACCAGCCACUAGGCCCACAAUGAAGGAAGUUUUGGAAAUUCUUCGACAAUGCAGUCCUCAGGAGGGCCAUGGAAGAAAGAAAAAGGACCAUGAAGUUGCACCCUUACUUCAAAAUGGCACUUGCCCCGCUACUUACAAGCAUAACGAGAAGGGAUCAGACAAUGAGGAUGACGAUAAAUUAGUUUGAAAUUUACAGCUUGUAAAUAAGUGUAAGAAAGCUUGUAAAUUAAAGGUGGUAGUGAUCUUAGGAAGUGUGUUUAGCCUUUUUAUAAUACUUGAAAAAUAAAAAUUUGCAAGUGUUAAAAGGUUAAAAACACUGUUGGAGGUACCUAACAUCUGCAUAUCUUUAAUACACCACCUCCCAAAUGAGGUAAUUGGAAACGCACAAAAUCACCUCAUCCCAAAACUAGGACCAUAAAAGAAGACGACCUCUCGGUCCUGCGGGAUGACCUGACUAAUUGACCUAUGCCUAGAAAAACGAAUCCAACUACCCGUCUCCUCAUGUGCCCAAAAGUCAACCAUGCCUCUGAUAUGCUGCAAAAAACCAAUACUUCAUGAUCCUUCACAAGGAAAAGUGGCUAUAAAAGGGGAGCCUUUUCCUCCUCUAAUGACUCUCUCUCUCAGCCUCUAAAAGAAAGCUGUAGAAAAUGUAGAAAAUGCAUUUCUAUACCCGGAAAAUAGUGGAAUGAAAUCUCCAAUAUUUUCCUUGAAGAAUUUUGGAUUCUUCAUUGGCAUAAUGGAGGACCGAGAGUGAAGUUUAAUCAGUCCAAAGGGAUUUGGAUGUCAAUUCUAUCUUUGUUCAACAUCCAAUAUCUUCCACUAUAAGCAAAAACAACAGCAAAAACAUCAACAACAAAAUUUUCUAGGGGAGUUUUCCUUUAGUUUUUUCUUCUCCUUUUAUAAAUCUUCCUUUAAUCACUUUUGUUUUGCGUAAUAUUCAAGAAAAUGUCAACUUUGUAGCUUUAGGAAAAUGAGCAACUAACCUCUCGAUUAUCUCUUUGUUUUGGGUUUUUCUAGUACCACUUGUGAUUGGUUGUUCCUUAGAAUUGAAAACAAGAAAAUAUGGAUCGAAAUAGCAGCUCACAAGCCUUUGUUUCAUGCUAAGCAAUUCUUGAAUAUUAUGGAGUUCUAGGGAAACAUGUCCACUUGCAAUCUGCAGCUUCAGGUUUUAUGAUUUAGGCCUCAAGCACCAUGGUUUAGCCAUCUCAAUCAGUUGUUGAAGGGGACAAUGUCUAACCAAUUUCAAAGGGUACAACCUCACAAAUCCUCGAUCUCAAUAUCGCCUCAGGUAAAUAGAUAAACCUAGAAACCUAACCUAACAAAGGUACCUAUUCUUUAACCAAAUAGUUGAUCAAAAGCUACAAAUCUUUGAAGAAUGCAAUAUCCAAAAGCUAAAAAACUUUGCAGAAGUGUUUGUACUAUAUAAUCUCCACCUUGACUAUCCAGACAAUCUCCACCUCGACUAUCCAGGUGAUCUCCACCUUGAUUAUCCAGACAAUUUUCAUCUCGGGCAGUCGGAGGUACCUCAUUCUCAAAUACCAACAAAGUAACCCAAUUUGUACUUGUCAACCAAUACACAUAUCCUCACAAUUGAUUGUUUAACCCUUAUCAAAUCAACCACCCAAGAUAUGUUGGGCCUUGUUCAACUGGCUCAAGAGUUUGCCCAACCUCCCACCUGCUCAGCAUGCAUAUGUUAGAAAUGUCUAACUCCUUCUUUCAGAUAAAAUUGGUUGACAGUUUUAUGCUUGGUUGAAGCCACUCAUAUAGAAUUUGGGAGCCAUAACAAUUACCAACAAUGUAUGAAGGAGGCAAACUUUGAGGCACCUCAAAUAUUCAAGAGUUAGAUACAACUUAAGAGGUUAUUUAUCUUACCUAACCUCAACAGGAAGUCAUCAAAAAGCACAAGUACAAUCUUGAUGUCAACUCACAUACAUAUCAGCCAAAUGGAAGAAAGUCUUGUCACCUAAGCAAGCGAUCAACUAAAGUUCAGAUAAGUCUUCUCUAACAUAUUUAUCUUAUAAUCUUUGGUUAAUUUCAUUUGUUUCAUUUUACAAGGACUAAUUGUGAAAAACAAACACCUUUCAAGUUAGGAAAACCUUCCAACUAAAAAUCUAAGGUUGAAUUAGUCUCAAAACAAAAACUCUUAUUAAUAGUCUAGCUAAAAACAAACGGUCAAGGUGAGUGACCAAACAAAAAACCUCGACCUAAAACCCACUUCUGGCAUUAGUCCUCUCAAUUCUAGAUGUACUUUGUUGAACCAUCCCUGUGGUCAUACAUGGAAAUUACCUUGAUGCAAAACUGACCUCUCACUCUUCUAGAGAUGGAUCACCUGUGUGCUUUGUGGACCUUCAAGUAAAGGUCGCACUUGUACACAAGCUCUAUCUCUAGGUAUGAGUUAACUUUAUGCCAAACCAACCUCCCUCUAUGAGCAUGUGUUAUCCUUGUGCCAAAACCUAAGUGGUCAAUUCCAACAAUUCCAGUGUAUAAAAGAACUUAACCUGAAUAUUUUUCUACUAUCCACUCUAAAAGCAUUACAUGCAAACUAAAUGAUUGAACUUGCCUAUUGACUUGUGGCAUAAGAAUUAUUUCAGGGCAAAACAAGUUACGAAAUAAGUCCACCUCAUGAUUAGAUCACUUAAACAACAGAUCGAGAAACUCAAGCUAGCAAAUAAUGAUAACCUCUUAAUCAAGAGUAACAAGUUGGGGAACCUAGCUAGAAAGGUUGGCCCUAGCAGAAAGGCAUCCAAGACCCUUACCUCACAUAAGGGGAAGUGGGUGGGAAGAAAAAAACUAGGUCUCGAAUAAUGAAGUAUGACAUCAGAAUUUACAACAAACAACUUGGGAUUUGUGUGUUAUCUAUCUAUGUUACUUCCAAUUUGUGAUUGGAUACAAUAUGAAGGAAUCUCGAAAAAUAGCAUCACAAGACACAACCUUAUUAUUAGUUGGCCCCAAACUGAAAAUCAUUCAAAUGUGAAAGCUUUGAGUUGAACAAUGUUGGGACGUAAAUGCAAAAAAUUAUCUACGGAGGUUCAUUAGUUAAAAUUGCAAGUCAACUCAGCCUAAGAGGCAUCAAAGCAGUAGAACUGAGAAUGUGCAUCACCUACAACUUCCUAUUUAUUUCAAAAAAAACUACAUAUCCGUUAUGUGGCCUUAAAGUUCAACCUGCAUAAGAAACCCAAUCGAGCAUCUUUACCAUUGUUAGCAACUCAUGAUACUAGCUAACAAUUGUGAAUGACUACUCUUCUGAGUUUUCCCUAUUAACUUACAACGACCUACUAUCAUAUGGUUCUACUAAUUGUCUGGAUAGUCAAUACAUAGCUCCGCUAACUCUAUGAACUAUUCCUAAAAUAUUACAGCAACAACCCCCAACCAAGGAAAAAUGCAAACUACCUCGUUAAUGUAAGGUAAACACCUAAGGAAUCCUUGAUAAAAUUUGUUUAGUUAUUCAUAUCAGAAAUAGUGCAAGUAGAAAGCAAUGAUCAAAGAACUAUGACAAAGGCCUUUAGAAAAGCCUUGUCUACAAGAAGUCCACUACUUGGGUCAUUAGUAAGGGAUAACCUUCCCCACAUACCAGAUCAAGCUAGAUGAACAACUUGAAUUAAACCUUACAGAAAAAGCUACGAUAUCACAAUUCGCACAAUCAACACCUACCUACUUGACAAGGCUGAGGGAAAAAAUCAAGUGGCAAUCAAAUCAAUGUUAGUCACAACACAACUAGAAGAAAAGUUGGUUUGAUAUAGGAAGUUCAACCAAUAUAUUCUUUGACAACUUCUUUCAGCAAAUGAAUAAGUCAUGACUUUGACUCGAAUUGUAAGCUCUUAUGGAAAAUCUUCCAAUGCCUAGAUUAACUUGACCUUGGAGCAAAAGUAGAACUAAAGUCUCUUUCCUGAUGAAAAAGUCUCAGUCUCCUUACAACAUCAUUCUCAAGCAACAUUUUGUGGAUGCAGUAUCUCCAUCUUACAAUAAGAUGCUUGAGUUGGGAAAGAGAUCUAACAAUGAUAUUAUGCUUAAAUUCCAAAUCCAUCUCAACCUGAGAUAGCUCCGCAAAAAGGUUAACCAAACAGGAUGACAUACUCAUCCCCUAAUCUGGUUCAAAUGAGAAGAGUGCAUCAAAAACAACAAAGUAUCACCAAAAAAAUAACACAAAAUGAGGAACGAGUGGUAACUACAUUGACCUUAAUAAAGUUUGUCCUAAAAUUAGUUCUCCCCCGCCAAAGAUGGGCCAACUUUUGGACUCAAUAUCAUAACAUGAGGAAAAAAAGGUUCAAGAACCCUCAACCAUCUUGUGAGCUUACUCAACUAAAAGCAAAGGAGCAUUAAUCGUAAUGUUGAUCCAUCAAGAAUGAUAAACAAAAACUACAACCAAAAGGUAGAGACUCUUACAGGUGCUAAAACAGGUAUUCAAAAUAACCUCAUAAAAGGUGUGUUUGUGACCCCAACUUGAUGGUAGCAAAGUGCCCAAACCAUGAAACCAAGCACACCUAAAAAGGUACUAUGUCUAAACUAUAUAGCUAGUUUUAACAAUUUUGGAAUGUUUUAAUUACCUCAAUAAACUUCGCACCUUAUCUCGAUCCUCACGUAUGUGCUUGCUAAAGUGAAAUUUGCAAGAUUGAGAAAGACUGGGCAAUAAUCCUCUAGGAAGAGUUGUUCAUACAACUGAGAUCUAAGCCCUAUUACCAAAAGACAACCAAAGCCAAGCAAUUGGUUGAACCUCAUCUGGUCUAUAUUAAUUAGAAUUAUGAUCAAUUUUGUUAGCCAAGAACUAAAACAAUUAUCAUUUGGGACCAUUCACCUCUCUAAGAAGUCAAGGUCAUAAUUUGUCACUUCCUCUGGCCAAAUAAGUGGGUCUAUAAGCCUGCAACACUACACAUAUUUCCCCAAUCUUCCCUACCAUGUAUCAAACUAAAUUUCACUAAGCAACAAUUAGUACACAUUUUUUAUCACACAAAACCCACACAACAACAAAAAGUUGAAUAAGCCCAAUAAUUGGCACAACGCACAUAAAGUGUGGUCAUCAACACCCCACAAACAACAGAAAGAAAGAGAAAAAAAACUAACAUUGACACAAUUCAUCAAAGUUGCAAUCAUCAAAAUUAGCAAAACAAUGUAGCAAAAGAAAAAAACCCCACAUAAGCACCAUUCAUCAAAGUAUUCUCCUAAUGAAGUGUAAAAAAAUGGUCAUCCUCAUCAUAAUGGUCUAAAGUAUGGAAAAUACCGCCAUCAUCAAGGAGACUUUAGCAAAUGAGUUAUAACAAGUACAAGAGGGUCAUACUCUUUGCUCUUACUAGCAAGCCUAGUCUUGUUUAUAUUAAAGCUCUUGAUGCAAAGGCAUAUCAACCCCACACCUAUAAAUGAGGUAGAAAGAUUUGUAUCACCAUUUGAUUGUUCGCCUUGACCUGAUCAUCCAAUAUGCAUGGAAGCUGAUCAUUGGGAUCCUCAACACUUGUGAAUAAAACAAAAAUGAGUAAGACGUGUCAACCUCAUCAACAAACAUCAUAUCCUUGGCAAAAGUGGGAAUCAAACACAAAGAUUUUUUCUUUCUCGCCAUUCCUAGGGAAGAUCAAGACCUAAACCCACUCAUAGACACUCUUAUAUCAAAUACUAAGAGGAAUCAUGUGAUCCUUCGAAGACCCAACCUCAUCACAUGCAGAAUUGGGUCAUCACCAACUAAGCCCUGAUCAAUGCUUAACACUUAAGUGAAACAAAAGACAACUAAAUACAAACGAAAAGAAAGCUAGCGACAAGCAAAGAAACCACUUAAAAUGUCAAAACUAGACAAGCCAACGUCCUCAACUUGAGCUACAUCUAGUUGGAACUAUUUGAUUGAACUUAUGGCAUGACUUGAACUCAAAGCAAAGGUUUCCACACGAACAUUCGAUUGAGCUACUUACUCCAAUAUGACACCUCAAACAAGACUUUGUAAUACAAAACCAUAUCUCACAAUUGCAACACCAGCUAAAACAACAACAAAAUAAGCAUCAACAACAAAUGGAAAAUAUCCCGGCACGCCAAAAUGACCUCAUAGAUCAACUACAAAACAGCCUAGCCAAUUCACGGCCACUAGGCUAACCAAAUUGACGUUGGGAGGAAAGUGCAACGAGUUGCAUGCAUGAAGCCCCAUCAACCUGGGUUAAACCAAAAAAAACUAGCCAUCAUUAGCACACUAUCCGAGAUCGUUACAAAGUCCUACCCUCUUCUAGUCAUAGAAGAUGUCAGGACUUGGGAGGGACUAGAGGUACCAAAAAUUAACAUAUCUUUAAUACACCACCUCCCAAACAAGGUACAUGAAAAGACACAAAAUCAUCUCAUCCUAAAACCAAGACCAUAAAAGAAGAUGACCUCUCAGACUUGUAGGAUGACAUGACUACAAUCUUGAAGUUGUACUUCUAUAGUUGGGCCCUAAAAGAGAACCCGGUAGGGAGGAAGGGCAGCAUAUAAACCUUGUCCAAUGGGCAUGGUAGCACCUUUGAGGAAGAAAGUCGUUUGUGAAAGCAUUGGAUGAGAAGAUCAUGGCACAAUGCUACUUCAAAAAAAUGAGCACUAUAUUCCUAAUAAUCAAACUUAAUCAUGAAAACUUUGAAAAUAGUGAGAAUUCUCUUACCUACAAGUAUAAAGACAAAUAGACGGAAGGUAAAUAAAUCAUUAAUAGAACUUAAAAUAAUAAAUUGAGCAAAUAAACAUAUGGUAAAAUUGGAACUCAUGAUCCUCCUACUAAAUAAUACCAUAUUGGAUAACUAAAUUUUUUAAGAACUUAAACAUAAGAUUUGGAUCUUUAUGAUCGUGUAUCAUGCUUUCUAAUAAUAUAUUAAAUACUUUUCUAGAUUUUGUGUUGACUUGUGAUUACUUCUCUAAAUCAAUUUUUCAGCAUCCUAUAUAUAUGUAUUUGUUAGGAUGGAUCAAUUUUUCAGAAUCAAUUAUCAAAGAAUGCAAAAAUAUAACUCCUCAUAGAGUCUCUUGUUUUUCCUCUACGACUUAAAAGAAGUCCUUAGUGCUUUCACAAGGAAAUAGGAUAAUUUUUUUUAUCUUCAAACCUGCACAAAGAUAUGGAAACCAUAUCAUUGAAAUAAUUAAAACGGAAAACAACUGGAAUCAAAGUGCUAUUGCCUUAUUUUUUUUAAAAAAAAAAAUCUUGGGCUUUAUGCAAAACUAAACAUUAGUUGCCUAAAUCUCCUUAAUUGGAAUACUAGAUGGGUGUAUCAAUUCAACUUGACACCUUCUUCCAUAAAUACCAAAAAUGAUAUUUGUUUUGGGAACAAGACUAGAGUUUUGAGCAGAUAUAAUACAUUUAUGAAAAAAAGAUAAUAAAAUGGAUUUUCAACUAAAAUAAUUCCCAAGCUAGUACAUUUCAACUAUGUGCGUAUCCGUAUGGCGUGAGAAUGUUUUUUUUUUUUAUAUGUUCUUUUAUAUCACAACUAUAAUUAGUAACUAGGAUUUUGAUUUUUUUAACAUAAAAUCAUAGAUAGAUAUUAUAAUUUUAAAUUUAUUUUUAAAAUCACAGUCAUCAACUAUAGUUUUAAGUUUAAAUUUAAAAUCAUAGUUAGUAACUAUUAUUUUAACCAUUUUCCAAAAAAAAUCAAAAUUAUAAUUAAUAACUACGAUUUUAUGAUAUGAAACACUCCAAUUUGAAAAUUAUUUUGAGAGGGGAUCUACUUUGUAGAUUUUUAUUUUAAAAAAAAUAAAUUAUUUUUCCUCAAACCUCAAAAAACAAACUUGUUUAGAACUAAAUUCAAUUAUACACUUCUCUAAUUUUUCUUUACCCUAAUAGAAGAUCAAUUCCAUUUUAUCACUUUUCCACCAGAAUCCUCAUGACUACUUGUAGAAUUCUUGAGAUGAAAUGAAAGAGUGGUAUGAGAUGCUUGUUUAAACUUUAGUUUCAAUCUCGAUCAAUGUUGUCCAUUCCCUUAGCUGUGCAUUAUUCCAAUGCCAGUUUUCCUCCAUAAACUCCAGGUACAAGAUUAGAUUCCGUGUGGAAUGGAUCCUGUUGUGAGACUUGACCAUCAAUAUCCUUCUCUCCAUUUGUGGGGUACUGCCCACUUGAUCACUGCUGUGGAAAUCUGACUAACACACCCAAAUUCUCAACAACCCAAAACCACAGAUUCCUGCAUCCUUCCAUCCAUCUUUCUUUAAGUAAGAUAGACAUCCAUUUGGUCUUUGUUUUUCAUUUAUUUCACUUUCUCCCAAGAAUACUAAUCUUGUCUUUAUUGACUGAUUAGUUUCAUUAGAGAUCAUCCAAGCAAAAGAAUAUCACAUUUUAUAUUAAAAAAAAAAAAAGUAUUGAAUAUAUUAGAAAGAUAUCAUCCUCGAAAAGUUGGAAAUGUAAUCUUGUGCAAGGAAAGGAAACAAGGGAGAGUCUUAAAUAAAUUGUUUCCAAAAGAGACCUAAUGACCAAUGUCUUUAGGGGUGUAUCCUUCAUGUAUAUAAAUAAGAAUUGAAAGCGAGGGAAUAUGGAAGUUUAGGGACAAGAUUUUGUUUUCUAUGAAUAAAUUAAAUGUGGCUUCAUGACUUCCAACCCUUACUUCGUCUUUCUCCACAUUAAAUAGCCCUUUUGAAAGUAUCAGUGGAGAUUGGCCCGAUUCCAAUGGAAUCGAUCACCUUUUCCAUAAUGCAUAGUUUGAUUAUGUUAGGAUGAUUAGGUCACCAACCAUUUGCUAAGCGUCAUAUCUUUUUUCUACACCAACUCAAAAACCCCACUUGGCCAAUAUGUUUUUAUUUUUUAAAACCAAUAUAAAUAAGGCAUUAACACAUCCAUUCUCAUGUUCCUCUACCUAACGUUAACCAUUUUCAUAUCUCUAGCAUAUCUCCACCCAUAAUAUCUAAAUUUUGAAGUGAUUCUAGUAAAAAUACUUUUUAAAAAAAUACUUUAAUCAAAAACACAUCAAACAAAAAUACUAUCAAACGCACUUUUAAUUUAUAUUAUUUUUUAUCAGUAACACUUUUAUUAUAAAAAAAAAAAUACUUUUAGUGGUAAUCAUUUAAUAUUUGAAUAUACAAAUAAAAAAACCUUUUUUAUAAUAUAUUAGAAAAAAAAUGGUUUUUAAAAGAAACAUCCAUCAAUAUAUUAUAUCACAAAUUAUUGUCUUUAAAACCUAAUUUUUAUUAUUAAAAAAAUGCCAAAAUUACUACCAAAUCAAUUCUAAGAAUAGUUUGAAAAUGGGUUGAACUUUUAUAUUUAUCAAGAAAAAAUUGUAGAAGUAACCACUAUCUUUGAAAAUUAUAUGUCAAAAAUAUUUUUAUUAAAGAGAAAGAUAAUUAUAAUAAAGCUAGUUGUCAUUACUUUUCAAUAACACAAAGAAAUCAUAUGGAGCUUAUAAUCAAAAGUUCUUUUCAAAUGACUAACAAAGGUUUUUAUUCCUUGAGUUGUUUUUACUACUAUUUUUAUCAUUUACCUAUGUUAUUAAUGGUGAUUAAAUGAUAAAAAAAAUAUUUAAUGCAUAUUAAUUUCUUUUCACAUCCAAUUUUCAAGUGGAUGUGCUAUAAAAAUGUUGUAAAAUAAUUUUUUUUAAAUAACAUUUUCAUGUGUGAUUUUUUAUUCAUAAUUAGUUACAGAAAAAACUUAAAAUGCUUAGGUAUUAUUAAAACGACUCCAUUUCAUAUUUGACACCAACACAUGUUAUUUUAUCAUCUAAUAUUGUUAUAUUAAAAAACACUCAAUUUAACAUGAAUAUUAUUAUUAUUAUAUAUUUAAAAUUAUUUUAAUCUUUCUAUUUAAAAAAAAAAAAAAAUUGUAUGCAUUAUCCAUAUUCCCAUGAAAUCCAAACGUGUCCCAUGAUUGUAGACUAAUUCGUCUAUAGUGUGGACGCAAUGACAAGUCAGAAGUCUCCCAUUUCUUUUCUAGUCAAUGGGCAUGUUCCACAUUUAUUUAUGAUAUUUCGGAUUACACGAAGACUUCCAAAAGCAAUUGGUUUGAUAAGCUUCAUGGAAUCUGAAGAUAAAGGAGGAUGCUACUUCCACAUUCUUUAACCGAGCGUAUCAACCACGCUCUCUCUAAUUUUUCCAUAUUCUUAAUUUCUAAAAAAAAAAAAAUUCAAUAUGGUAUAUCUAUUUUAAAAUUAUCUUUUUGAUAGAUAUUUUAUAAAUUAUUAUAAAUUUUAAAAUAUUUUUUCAACUAUUAUCCAUCUCAAAUUAUUUCUAUAAACUACCUUUUUUUUUUAUUUUAUAUUAUCUAAUUUAAACAGUAACAAGAUGAUUUCACAUAUGUUUUUUUAAGUAUUAUUAUGUGUGUCAUUUUAUCUUAAUUUCAUUCGUUUGCAUGUUGGACUUACAACAUAAAUUUCAUUACAUAUAUUCAACCAUUUAGAAUUUUUGUUUGAUAUGUAAUACUCUACCCGAAUAUGUUCUCAAAUUAUGUAUGUUAUGGGGAUAUAUAUAGAUAUAUUAUGGUCUAUUCCAUUUCCAUCACUUCAUGAGUUUCCCCUAAUCCACUUACUCCACUCUCAAUAAUGAUGAACUAUAUCUUGAAAGUGAAGUUGGCUUCACUCAUCCCCCAUAAAAGACCUAUCCUCAGGAGUCAAGACACUCGAAUUUGAACUUGAAGAGGAUAGAUCCCUGACCACCACCAUCUAUUGUCUCCUAAUAGGGGAGAUAUUAUUAGCCUUUUUUUAUUCUUUUACCCCACCUUAACCAAAAAAUAAGAUAAUCUUAUUACAAGAUUAUAAAAGGAACUUACUUUUCUUUAUUUAUGAUAUUUUUCUUUAAAUAAUUCAACUUUAUUAAAGCUAAGUUAGAUGUAAAUUCUGAUUAUUCUACUUUUGACCAAAUCAUAGCGGUGACCAACACUAGCUAUUAAAAAAUUAAAAUAAGUGAAAAAAAAACACUUUUUUUUUUUUACUUUUAUUUUUUAGCAUUCAAUUGUUAGAGCUUCAAAACAAUGAACUAAAAAGAUAAAACUAAGUGCAAGUUAAAAUAGAGAAUAAGGAACUCAAACAUUUUAUAAGACAUACUUGACUAACAUAAGUGAAAAUAAUUUUUUUUAAAAUAUAGUUCUUGCUUUGUGUGAAACAAAGUAGUAUUAUUUUUAUAUUUAUUUCAUGUUAUCCAUAAAACAAUACAAAUAACUUCAAUAGUUUGAGUGCUCUCCAAUUUUUAAAAUUCACUCUCACAAUUUCAAGCUAUAUUUGCUAAAGCUAUACGUUGGAUUUCUAAAAAUGAGGGAAUAUAUAAGUUAAUGGAUGAAGGUUUGAUUUUAACAAUAAGGAUCGUGUUAUUGUGCUCAUACAAUUCGAACCAAAAUAUACGCAACAACUCUUAAAAGUAAUGAUGUAAUGUUACUUAUGUUGGAUUUUAUGAAAAUAUCAAUAAAAAUACUUAUAUUCGUGUAAAUUUUUUGUGGUAUCUUAUAAACAUUUUAUGUUUUAUUGCUUUAUAUAUAAAUCUAAUUUCAUUUCAUUCAUCUAUAUUUAUCUUAUCUAUUUAUGCUUUAACCCCAUAUAUUUUUAUUUUCAUUCAAUAUAAAUUUUAUUAUAUAUUUUCAAUGAUAAAAACAGAUGUACAUUUAAUACCCAAACUUUUUCUAACAUUAAAGUAAAUAUAAUUUCACGAAUUUCAUAUUUUCUAUCAUCUUUACCAAAAUAAAUCGAAUGGGGUUGAUCACUUUUUUCCCAUUCCAUGAUUUGAUUGCGUGAAGAUGAUUCCAUCACCAACCAUUUACUAAGAUGUGACACCCAUUUUCUACACCAACUCAAACACUCCCCUUUUGUUAAUAGCUUUUAGCCGAUAGAAAGAAGUGAACAAAACCGUUUUCACAUUUCACCUACCAAGGCUAAGAAAUAUAAAUAGAAAUAGAAAUAAUUACUAUUUGUUAAAUAUAUAUUUUAUGUUUUAAAUAUAUAUUUUUAUUAAAAAUAAAAAUAAUCAUGAUAUUAAUUUGUUAAAAUUUACUCUUACAUCAUCUAAUAUAAAUGAAUCAUGUACGAAAAUGCAAGAAUUAUGAUCAAGAGUUCCAUCCAGCCAAUUAUAAAAAUGAUGUUUUACCUUUAACACAGGCUCUUCUAAUUCAAAUCUUUAUUCAUUUUCUCUUAUUGUUAUUAUUUAAAUAUAUGAUUAAUCAUGAUUAGAUAUUACAAAAACUUUCAUAUUUAAUAUAUUCUUUUAUCAUCGAUUAAGUUUGAACUUUUUUUUUGUUUGUGUAUAUCUUUAUACUUUUUCUUCUUACAAUUUUUUUUUUCACAUUUUAAUAUUUUUAUCAUAUACCAAAGCUUCAUUUAAAAUUUUCGUGUUUUUGAUCAUUUUUUAUUUGUAUAAAAAUUUACAUGAAUAUAAAUAUUUUUAUUGAUAUUCUGAUAAAAUCCAACAGCAGGGACAUUUCAUCAUUGCUUCUUGAGGUGGUGCGUGUAUAGUGCAUAUAGCAUGGGAAUAAGGACACGUCUCCUUUCUGACUAUUCAAUUCAAUGCCCUUUCACAUUCAUUUAUUAAUUGUUUGGACUAUAUGAAGACUUGUGAAAGCAACCUUCCCCCGUUUUCUUGACGCAAGCUGCUACUUCCACGUGAGCAUGCCAAACACGCUUAGGGCCUGUUUGUUGGUGUUUUCAAAUACAUUUUUGGAAACAGUUUUUAGUGUUUUCAGAAAUAAAAUUAUAUUUGAAAACUAAAUUCUAAAAAAUAAUUUUUAUUCUCGAAAAUAAAAAGAAUAAAAAAACAUGUUUAGUUCAAUUAAUAAAAAUAAUUUUUAAUAACAAAUAAAACAAAAAAACUUGUUUGGAAAAUAUUAUUGUUGGUUUUGUUUUUUAAAGUCGAGUAUUUUAUUUAACUAAUUGAUGUUGUAAAUAUAUAAAUAAUUUUUCUUCAUAAAAAUAAAAAUGUUCCAUUUUGAACAUUUUUUACAUCAAUUUUAAUUUUUUUAAACAAAUUAUUACUUUGUAAACAUGUCUAAAUAUGUUUGAUUUCAAUAAUUGAUAAACCAUUUUAUCAAAAUAUCAUAAAUCGAUAAAUAUCAAUAAUUAGAUUUUAUGAAGAUAAAAUUUAUGAUAUCAAAUAAUAAUGCAUUAUACUUGGAAAUUGAUGAUCUAUCUUUUCUACUAAUAAUAUAUUUAUGAUAAUUUUUUAUUUAAAAAUAUUUAUAAUUUUAUUUUAAAUUAAAUUUUAUUUUAUAUUUAAGAAUUAUAUAAAAGAUAAUUUUUUUUAAAGUAAAUCAAACUAAUUUAUUUAUAAAAAUUUAUUAAUUUUUACUUGGAAUCCUUGUUCUCUUUUCUCUCCUUCUCCUCAUAUUCUCUUUGUUUCUCUUCCAAGACUCAAACUUUUAUUCAGUGAAAUUGAAUUAUUUCUCUCCUCAAAUAUCAACUCAAUAAAGUCAAAAGUCAAAAUCUAGAUCUAUGAUUGUUGUAAAGAUUCUUGGUUACGAUUUCAUCUUUUAUGUUAUUGUUUAUGUUUUUGUUUGGUUUUUGAGAAAUCCUAGAAUUUAUGGAAGUUUCAGCUUUGAAAUGCAUUAAAAAAAACAUAUUAGGAUAAAAUCCCAAAAUAUCCGAAAAAUAUUGAAAUGGAAAUAAAGAAAAAAUAAAUAAAAAUAAAAAUUGUCGAUUAAGUUGAAUUUUUGUUAAACCGAAUUUUCAAUUUUCUAAUUUUUCCCAUUUUCCUUGGCAGUAUAAAAAAAAAAAAGAUAUAACAAUUUUUCUUUUUCUUUUUUAACUUCACAACACAAAAAACAUCAUUUUAAAACCAAGUUUUAGAAAAUUGAGAACAAAAAAACACUCUCUUAUCAAACAUGAUUUUUGUGUUUUUUGUUCUAAAAAAAAAACAGUUUUUGAAAACACUAACCAAACAAAUCCUUAAUGACUCAUUUUUCUUUUUUCUUUUUUACUUAUUUGUUUAUUCUGUUUUCUGUUUUUAUUUAUAAAGAAAAUAAAAAUCAAGUUUAAAACACAUGUUUAGAUAUUAUUCUUAAUUUUCAUUCUUGAAAAAUUGAGUUCAAAAAAGGUCAAAAAUGAAAAUAAUAAUUUGGUGCUUUUAAUUUUUUUUUUUAUGGCAAUGUUUUUCAAUCUAACAUAAAAAUAGAAAUAUUAUCUUUAGAAUUAAUUAUAAAAUUAUAGUCAAUAAUUUUGUACAUUAUUUUAAAAUAAAAAUAUAAUCAAAUACAAAAUAAUAAAAUAAAACAAGGAACAAAUAUGAUAUAAUAACAUAUAGUAGCAUAUAAUAUAUAAUGUAUAAUAUCAAUAAAUAACAACUAAUAAAAUUAUUAUAUAUGUUAUAUUGUAUGCGCAUGAGGUUUUUGGUAAAUCAAUUUAAUGUUUUAAAGUGACUUCAUAACUUGAUUUAAAUUAUUAAAUAAAUUAAAAUUUUGAUAAAAUAAUUUAAUAUCAGAAUUUAAAAUAAAAAUAAUUUUAAGUGUUAAGUCAAAAUAGUUAAUUUAUUCUUAAUGUCAAAUCAUUUUUAUUAGAUUUUUACUUUGUUUGGUAAAAUUGAGUUAAUAUUUUGAAAUUAUCAAAUUUACAUAUUUAUUUUUCUUAAUUUUAAGUAAUAAAUUUAUUUGUUACACGUUUCCAAAUAUAUAAAAUAAUUACAAUAAUUACUAAAUAUUUAGCUUAAAGAAAAUGAGUCAUGGAUAUAAGUCAUGCAUAUUAUAUAAAUUAGUAUUACAUGUGUGAGUAAAUAAGAUAGAAAUGAUUUAACAUUCAAAAUAAAUUUAUUAUUUUAAUUUAAUAUUUAAGAAUUAGUUUUAAUAUUUAAUAACUCAAAUUAAGUUAUUAAUCCAUUAUAUUGAUUAAUUUAUCAAACACCUUUUAAAAAUCUUUUUUUUUAGUGCCCAAAAAUAAAAUCAAUAAAAUUAUAUUAGUUUUUUGUUCGUCUCACGAUUUAUUUUAUAUGUUGAUCUUACAUUCCAAUUAUUGAUACUUUAAUAACAUACAUUUUGUAUCACCGUGAAAUCAUCUAAACUUAACCUUGCACUGUUGGUACUGAACAACUCCGUGUGUUACAUGCUGGAUGGCCUAGAAUUUUCCUUCUUCCUGUGGUUAGUUGCAAUAGAUUUUCCGGCACUGCAACGUUGGACACGACAGUUGAAGGAGCGCGGACUUAAAAGUAAAAGUGACGUGGAAAAUGAGAGAAAAGAUAUAAAAAGAAUAUGCUGAGGUCACAUUGCCAUUGUCAAUCGAAUCAUAAUUGUGGAAAUGAAUUCUCUAGUGGACCAACCAGCAGCGUGUUGAGUGGCACCCCGGCGCCCACGCCCCAUUGGUCAGCUUGCUUUUGUGGUGUGCAAGGUUUAUUCCAAACCUUUUGAUCAGUGGUUAUACAAGUAGCACAAAUCCGUGUGAGUAGCACAAAACACUGAGUUCAUUGGUCGUGGCUCCUUCGCAAUUAAUUCCAACAAGCAGGUCAGUUUGUAAAAUUCAGUAUAAUAAAUUCUGUCAGCGCCCCAGAUUUUGAAAUUGAACCGUUGGUUUCCACCACAUUCCCAGCAUUCUUCCUCCCAACUUUUGCCCGGCCAUCUUCCUACCUCCUCACAGAGAAUCCGGUAACGAACUCAACGUCACAAAAUGCCGAAACUACCCUUUUUAUUUGCCACAAUUCCAUUUCCCGACCAUCUUCCUCCCUUCUCACAUAGAAGUCGGUAACAAACUCAACGUCACAAAAUGCCGAAACUACCCUUAUUAUUUGCCACAACUCCAUUCCCCACCCUGUUCUUCCUCCUCAUCCUCUCCAUAUUUCAGGUAAUUUCUCAAAAUUUGGACGAUGAACGAUCAAUCCUACUAGACGUUAAACAACAAUUGGGCAAUCCACCGUCACUCCAAUCGUGGAAUUCCUCAUCCUUGCCUUGUGAUUGGCCGGAAAUUACAUGCACCGACAAUACCGUCACUGCAAUUUCACUCCACAAUAAGACCAUCAGAGAGAAAAUUCCAGCCACAAUUUGUGACCUCAAGAACCUCAUCGUACUUGACCUCUCCAACAAUUACAUUGUCGGUGAGUUCCCGGAUAUUCUCAAUUGUUCCAAGCUUGAGUAUCUGCUCUUGUUGCAAAACUCCUUCGUAGGUCCAAUUCCAGCUGAUAUUGAUCGACUUUCACAUCUCCGGUACCUAGACCUCACCGCAAACAACUUCUCUGGAGAUAUUCCCGCAGCAAUUGGGAGGCUACGGGAACUGUUCUACUUGUUUCUGGUUCAAAAUGAGUUCAACGGCACCUGGCCAACGGAGAUAGGUAAUUUGGCGAAUCUUGAACAUUUGGCCAUGGCCUAUAAUGACAAAUUCCGGCCUUCAGCCCUUCCAAAAGAGUUUGGCGCAUUGAAAAAGCUGAAAUAUCUGUGGAUGACGCAGGCGAAUUUGAUUGGCGAAAUACCGAAGAGCUUCAACCAUCUGUCGAGUCUAGAACACUUGGAUCUCUCACUCAACAAAUUAGAAGGUACGAUCCCUGGAGUCAUGCUUAUGUUGAAGAAUUUAACCAAUUUGUAUUUAUUCAAUAAUAGAUUGUCCGGCCGCAUUCCUUCAUCCAUAGAAGCUCUCAACUUGAAAGAAAUUGAUCUUUCCAAGAACCAUUUGACGGGGCCAAUACCAGAGGGUUUUGGGAAGCUACAAAAUUUGACCGGUUUGAAUCUUUUCUGGAAUCAGUUGUCAGGAGAGAUACCAGUAAAUAUAAGCCUCAUUCCUACACUAGAAACUUUCAAAGUUUUUAGCAAUCAAUUGAGUGGAGUUUUGCCUCCAGCAUUUGGCCUUCAUUCAGAGCUCAAACGUUUUGAGGUUUCCGAGAAUAAACUAAGCGGGGAAUUACCUCAACAUUUAUGCGCUAGGGGGGUUUUGCUUGGAGUGGUUGCUUCCAACAACAAUCUCAGCGGGGAAGUGCCCAAGUCUCUCGGGAAUUGCAGAAGUUU
rnacentral:lncRNA from 1 species